UUGCAAACACGAGGCUUAAAAAGGCUUACAUAGCACUCCAGGCUUGGAAAAAAGCGAUAUAUUCGGAUCCGUUUAACACCACGGCAAACUGGCACGGCCCCCACGUGUGCGCCUACACCGGUGUGGUAUGCGCGCCGGCUCUCGAUGAUCCCAACGUCACUGUGGUAGCUGGUGUUGACCUCAACGGUGCGGAUAUCGCGGGGCAUUUACCCGUCGAGCUUGGUUUGAUGACGGAUGUUGCUAUGUUCCAUUUGAAUUCGAACCGUUUCUGCGGUAUCAUCCCCAAGAGCUUCGAGAAGAUGAAGCUGAUGCAUGAGUUUGAUGUUAGUAGCAACUGUUUCGUUGGACCGUUCCCUAACGUCAUCCUCUCUUGGCCUAGUGCCAAAUACUUCGACCUUAGGUUUAAUGAUUUCGAAGGUCAAGUCCCUCCAGAGCUUUUCAAGAAAGAGCUAGACGCUAUUUUCUUGAACAACAAUAGAUUCACUUCGGUGAUUCCUGAAACUUUAGGAGAGUCUACGGCCUCUGUUGUGACUUUUGCUAACAAUAAAUUCACCGGAUGUAUCCCGAAGAGUGUCGGAAACAUGAAGAAUCUCAACGAGAUUGUCUUUAUGGAAAAUGGUUUGGGCGGUUGUUUCCCGUCUGAGAUUGGAAAGUUGUCGAAUGUGACAGUUUUCGAUGCAAGUAAGAACUCGUUCGUAGGUCGUCUCCCGACUAGCUUUGUCGGGUUAACGGGUGUGGAGGAGCUUGAUAUCUCCGGGAACAAGCUUACGGGAUUAGUAGGGGAUGAGAUUUGCAAGUUGCCUAAUUUGGUGAAUUUUACUUAUUCAUACAAUUACUUUAAUGGACAAGGUGGUUCUUGUAUUCCGGGUGGCGGGAGGAAAGAGAUUGUGUUGGACGAUACACGUAAUUGUCUGACGGAUAGACCUGACCAACGGUCGGCUCAGGAAUGUGCUGUGGUGAUUAACCGUCCGGUUGAUUGUAGUAAGGACAAGUGUGCUGGUGGUGGAUCCUCUACUCCAUCGAGAUCAUCGCCGGUUCACAAGCCAUCACCGGUUCCAACUCCGGUUGUUGACAAACCGUCGCCGGUUCACAAACCACAACCACCGAAAGAGUCACCGCAACAAGAUGAUCCUUAUGAUCAGUCUCCGGUGAAGAACCGACGCAGCCCACCUCCACCUCAUCAAUCUCAGCCUCCGGUGGUUUCCUCUCCUCCACUUCCGUCACCACCACCACCACAAGUCCACUCUCCACCGCCACCUGUUCACUCUCCUCCACCGCCUGUCCACUCUCCUCCACCGCCAGUCUAUUCCCCACCGCCACCGCCUGUCUUCUCUCCACCACCACCCGUAUAUUCCCCACCUCCGCCAGUCCAUUCGCCACCUCCACCACCUCCGGUUAACUCGCCGCCGCCACCUGUUCACUCACCGCCGCCGCCUGUUCAGUCGCCACCGCCACCGGUGUUUUCUCCUCCAGCUCAUCCGCCACAAACACCAGUCCAACCGUCACCAUCACCAGCGGUCAUUCUUCCACCUCCGUCUCAAUCUCCACCAGUAGUCUACUCUCCUCCGCCAACGAUCAGUUCCCCACCAGCACCAGCUCCAGUGGAAGAGAAACAGACGCCGCCUGCACAAGCACCAGCUCCGGUUGAAAAGGAACAGGCGCCACCGGCACAAGCACCAGCUCCGGUGGAAGAGAAAGAGACGCCAACGGCACAAGCACCAGCUCCAAGUGAUGAAUUCAUCAUACCACCUUUCAUCGGCCACCAAUACGCAUCGCCACCACCUCCAAUGUUCGAGGGCUACUGAUAUCGAUCGAAGAGAGAAGACACAACUAUAUCAUCUAGGAGUAACAAUAUUGUAAAACGAAAGAAGAGAAAAAAUUGAAGAAGAAGAAUAUAAUUGAAGGUUAAAUUAUGUAUGCUAAUGGAGGAACUUGUUAUCAGAUGUUUAAAUUUGUAACAGUUACAACUUCUGAUGGUCGAUAAAAGAUUUAUACUUCUAAGCAAAAAGAGUUGUUAUUAUUUUCCAACUAACUAUCUAUAGUGCAUGCAUAAUUACAUAAACUCCUUUUUAAUUUUUCUCACUCACAAAUCACAGCUUAGUUGCAAAAAAAAAAAAAAAAACCACAGCUUAGUUGCAGAAUUUUUUUACAAUGUACUCCUUAUGUUUCUAAAUAAUGCAUAUUUUAGAAUUUCACAAAUAUUAAGAAAAAUUUAGCAUUUAACUAUCAAUGCAUUAAAUUUUAAAAUUAUAACAAUUUUCCAUAAAUUUAGACCAAUAGAAAUUCAAUAAAUAUAAAAUUGUCAAUUAAUAAUUUUUGAAGUUUACAAUUCAUUAUUAAAAACAUAUAGAAAAUCUAAACAUUUAUCUUUUAAACACAAGUAAAAAGUGCUAAAACAUGAAUUAUUUAAAAAUAGAGAGAGUAUUACUCCCUCCGUUUUUUAAUAUAAGUCGUUUUAAAAAAAAAAUUAUGUUCCAAAUUACAUGACAUUUUCGGUUUUCUAUGUAAAAUUUAUUAACACUUAAUGUUACAUGACCAAUAAUAAUAUACCUUAUAAAACAUUGAUCUUUUUAUCAAAGUUCUCACAUGUUCUGUUCAAUAUAAUUUAGUCUAAUCUUCAAAACCUAAUUAUUUAUAAAACAUAUAAGAAUAUUAUAAGAGAUUAAUAAUUAUUAUAGAUACGAUAUAUUUUAUAUGAAUAUGAAAUCAUUAUACGAUUUCUAUAAAUUGUUUUAUAUUCAUUAUUUUACAUAGUAUUUAAAUAUAAAACAAUUGAUCAAACAUUAUUACACUUCCUAUAAUUAUGAAAAUUAGCAACUAUAAAUUAUUAUUUGUAAUAUCAUUUAGGUUAUUUGGCAAGUGAUAAUAAUUAGUUUUAUACUUACAUUUUAUUUUAGAACUAAUAAAAAUAAUUAAAUUAUAAAAAAAUUGUCUAUAUUAUGUAGUUUAUAAAUAUAAAAAAGAAUUGAUCAAACAUUUUUAUUCCUUAUGUAAUUUCAACAAUUAAUUACCAUAUAUCAUUAUUUUAAUAUAUUUUAGAUUAUUUGUCAAGUUAUAUUAAUUGGUUCUAGAGUUAUCUUUCUUUUUAAAUCUAAACUAUAACAAAUAAAAUUAAAAAUUAUCGAUUAAGCAAAUUAUAACAAUUUUCUUAAGACUUCAUAAAUGAUCGACAUGUAAGCAAAAUUGACUCAAGUGAUUUCUCGUUUAAUAUAUAGGAGAAAUUUUUUAUAAACUCUUAUAAAUGAUCUAAAAUUAUGAUUAAAUAAUUUUGUAAGCCAUGAUAGAUAAUUUUAUAUUUUUUUAUAAAUGAUUUAUAAAGCUAUAUGGACAUUAUAAGACUUUAAUAAUUAUUAUAAUAACUAAUACAACACAAAUUAUUAUAAUAAUUUUUGUUGUAUUAAUUAUUUUAUGUAGUAUAUAAAUAUAAAAAGGUUUAAUCAAACAUUAUUACACUUUUUAUGAUUUUGACAAUUAAUUACCAUAAAUUAUCAUUUUUAAUAUCAUUUAGAUUAUUUGGUAAGUGAUAUUAAUUAGUUUUAGACUUUCCUUUUAUUUUAAAUCUAACUAAAAUAAUUGAAAAUUGAAAAUGUUUCAACCAAUCAAAUUAUAACAAUUUUUCUUGAACUUUCUCUAUGAUUGACUUAAGUGGCUUUUCAUUUAAUAUAUACGAGGAUUGUUAUUUUAGGCAAUUAGAUUUUAAUCUUCUAAAAAUGACAAAAUUAUUAACAUGUUGAUACUUGGCUUAAGAGGUUCUGAAAAGUAUCUCAAAUUUCUCUUUUGGUAUAUAUAGGAGGGUUGUUAUUUUAGGAAAUUAGAUUUUUAUGUUUUUUAGAAUUGGUUUAUUAGUUGAGAUAGUUAACUAGAUACUAUACAUUGGAGCUGCUCCAACAAAAAUAAUGAGAAAAUAUUUUGAGUUGUGAAGUAUCACCUUCUUCUACAACCAAUCAUAAAAGUUAUAUCAUCAAAGAUAAGUCACCUCUUUCUGCAGUUGAUUCAGCACAUAAGACGUGAACUUCCUAAAUACCUUGGUAACAAUCAAUAAAAAAGAAACAUGUAAUAAAUUGCUUUACUAAAUAUAGGAAAAAUAGUACAUGCACUUGUUAUCAUAAUAACAAGGACCAUGGAUAAUAGCGUUUCUUGUCUUCAUGUCAAACUGUAUUCACCCCAUUCUCAUCCAUGUUCAGUAUCAUUAAUUAUUGUCACAAGAACCCUACUUUUUGUGGAAUUAUGUAUAUGGAUGGCUUCGCGUCUACAUCAUUAUUUAUUCUUAAUUAUAUUAUAAGAACACAUUAUUACAUAAUACAAUAUAUUUCUUCUAAGAGUACACAUACUUAACAGCUCUGUUUAGAAAUAGGUUUAAGAUUUCUCUCGCAUUACAUUUCAUUUGACCUACUCUACUUAUCCCAGUAACUGGUAGGAAACACUUUGGCUGAUAAUACAACAACUUAAUGUGGCUUCAUGUCUUAAUUUCAACAAUUAUUCUCAGAAAAUAUGAACAAAUUUUUUUAAUUGAUAACUACAGAAGAGUUUCUAUUAUUAUGGUCAGCCAACCAAUUCAUUAAUGUGAUUUGUUUGUGUUGCGUGACUUGCAAUUGCAUGCGUCUUAAUAUAUAAGCCCAUAUAUGUUUUGUUAAAAAUAAUAUUACUAAUUAUUUUCUGUCAAUAUAUUAUACACAUGUAUUAAGCAUAAGCAGGUUUUGUAAGGGUGACUCUGAGUAUGGCAAUUUUUUAAAAAUGUUGUACACACUGCGCAGACGCAUUGAUUUGUGUUGACAUGAAAUUGGUCUACGCAGUAAGUUAGUAAUCACAAGUCACAACUACUGAUGCCUUGACAAAAAAAGAGAGUAUACCUCUACUAAUGUAAAAGUUUUCUUUUAAGAUCACGAGUUCGACAUUCAGCGAUGAAAAGAUGAAUGAACCCACAAGCCAUAACCGUCAUCAGCCGUGACAACCUUUGGCCUCAUACCACACAUGAUAUAUAUUUCGUUCUUUCUUUUUUGGUUUGUUGUGAAUCUUGUGAUACACCUCACCGCAUGGUUCAAAAUCAACUUUGAGCACAUUUUUAUUUAACGUUUUUUAUCAUUAGAGUUAUAACAAGCUUUGUGAAAGUUUUUUUUUUUUUUUGUAAUCAUACCGUGCAAUGCUAAACACUCCGCUAUAAUAUGAAGUUAAAAUUUUUGCAAUAUAUUGAUCAAUACAAAUAUAAAUGUUUUUAACUAUAGCAGUUGUGUAAAGAUUUUAUACGAGGUUUUACUUAAUACUGUAUAUGUUUGAAGGCUUACUUCUAUGCAAAAAGAAAAAAAGUCAUCAUAUUUUCUCAUGGCGAAAAUGAUAAUUGAUAGUGGAAGGUCGAUAAAAAUUCUUUAUUGAUAAAAGAAAUUAUUUUUAUGAUAAUGAAAGAAGCAAAGGAAAAAAAUAAGAAAUAGUAUUUUUUAAAAAAAUUGUUGAGCUUCGAAUGAGAUAUUAUAUUUUUGUGUGAAAUAACUAAGAGAAACACCCCCUUAACAAUUCAAUUGUGCUAAUCUUUAGUUACUCAUGGUGGAGAUAUACGCAUUCAACGAUAUAACGAGGCAUCACCAGAUUUUUAUAUUAAGAUUUUUUUUCCUCAACUAUAUGAACGAGUCCACGUUCCAAGCCAGAUCCGAAGCCAUCUCAUAAGACUAAACAAAAUUUUGAUAUAACAAUUGAAUGAUUAGCUUGUCGUAAAGUACUUAAAUAUCAUUAUGAAGACAUUAGGGGUUGUUUCCGCUGCACGUCUUCUUCUGCAACCAAUUUUUUGUUGUUAAUCCUUUUGAGCUCUUCUUCAACUAAUUUGCGCACUUGAUUAUUAGAGCACCAUUAUCCUAGAGACCCUAAAUGGGUCUUUUAUUUUUUUUUAAUACUUUUUAAUUGUAAAAGUGAAUUAAGAGACUGGAUUAAGAAACCCGAACAUUUAGGUGCUCCAUUGCAAGUCUCUUAUUAAGAGUUUAAAAAAAAAAAUUUAAUUAAACACCAAUUUUUUUUUUGAUUUUUCUUAUUAAACUUAAAUUUUCUUAAAACAUAGUACAAGCUAACUCUAUAUUCAAGUUUUUGAUUGAAAAACUUACAAAAGAACCAAGCACAAGGGGAUUCACAGCAUUUGGAGUUUUCACGACUUUGAGUUUGUAGAGGAUAACAAGAGUAAGGAAGGAGAUAAUAAUAAUUAUCAAAACAUGCGGAGACUAAUCUUGCAUACCUCGUUAAGCAGUGGUUCAGGUUCUCUAUCUAUGCAAGACUUAAAUUUUACUCUUAGCAUACUGAAAAGAGGCAAUGCAUCCCUCUGCAACCUGUAUUAGUACAUCAAAUUUGUUUAGGUAACAACAAAAGAAAGGCUAGAGCCGUUGAUGAAGAAGAAGAAGUGGAAGUUGUCUCAGCCACCGUACCGCCAAACGCAGACGCAAAUGCUGCAUCGCUAUCUUGAUACAACCUCACGCCUCUCCUCCUUCUCUCGCUUCUCUCUUCAGACACAAGUAACCUCGAGAUAUCCUCUCUCUGCAACCUAGCUUGAAACGCCGUAUCUCUGUUCCUGCUUCUUACCCUCUGAUUAGAGUCUCUAGGGCUUGGCAUUUCCUUGGUUAGGAAGUUAGCAGAAGCAGCAGCUCUCUGUGCGAGCAACCUCUCCAAUUUGCAUUCCGAUAACGCCUUCAUCCCAUCCUGUAAGCAAAAGAUUUCAACAAUUUUAAAUUCAUAUUAGCUCUUGUUAUGGAAGGAAUAACAGAACCAUAGCAAUAUGAUCAAACCAUAAAACAGAGGAAAAUUGUAUAAUUAAGCUCAUACAAGAAACUUGGAUUAUUAUUAUUAGACAAUUAAGCUUACUAUUAUUAGAUUACCACCAGUUCAUCAACAAGUUCUCACACACACACACUCACUCUGAUCUCAGAACAUAAACCCUAAUUAAAUAGAUUUCUCCAGAAAGUAAUCGAACACAAAUAGCGAAACAUCCAGUCACUACCACAUCAGCUGAGCAGAAUUUUUUGUAAGAUCGAUUUUCCCUACAAUNNNNNNNNNNNNNNNNNNNNNNNNNNNNNNNNNNNNNNNNNNNNNUACAAUGGGAAGUUUCAAAGAUAAGAGAGGUUUACCGAAUCCGGUGCAGUGAACGGUGACGGUUUGACCCGAGCGGGUUUGGGACCGGUCCCGGGUCUGAUGAUUUUUUUCUCCGCUCCGUUGCCGGCGGCACCAUCUCUCUCUCUCUCGCUGCGAAUUGAGAGAAAUUGAAAGAAGAGCCAAGUCGGGGAAGAAGGAGAGUAGAGUCUCAAAAGUGGACACGUGUUAAUAAUAUCCGUCUCUUGUAGUCUCCAAAUAAGAGACGUGUUUUCACAUAUAAGCUAAUUUUCUUUUAUUUUAAUUCCUAAAUAACAUAAGAACCCCCACUAAAUACGAGCGAUAAAGAUGCUCUUACACUAGUGUUGCUCAAAUGGGGACCAUGAAGAAGAAAACCUCGAGAGAAGUGCAAAACUUAUUGAACAAAAAAUAAUUAAGGUGUUACAAGAAUCAACAAAGAGAAGUGCAAAACUUAUUGAACAAAAAAUAAUUAAGGUGUUACAAGAAUCAACAAAAACUACAUCGAAGAGUUCACCACGACAAAAGGUAAGAGAAACGCGGGUAAAUGAUUUCGUGAAAAUUACAAAAAAAAACAGAUUUUCAAGGGAGAAAUCCAAAGAUGAAUUGAGAAGGGUAAGAAGGGGAAAUGCCCUGGCGGAGGAGAUGUUGAGGUGGCAGAGGAGUGCGGUGGUUGAGGUGUUGCCGCCAGGCAAUCUUGACGGUUUCAGCCACCACUACGACAAACUCCACACCUAUCCUCAUAAGCUCUAUACACAUCUCUAUCCUUUUUAUCACCAUGAUUCUCUUUUCUCUCUCUAGUAGUAAGUCUUGUUUUCUUCAACCCUCUCUCACUUCAUCUUCUUUGUAUUUAUAUCAGCAAACUUCAGAUGCAUCCUCACACAAAAAACUCCAAAAGCGUUUAUAAUUAAUUGUUUCUCCUGAUAGAGACUUAUAAAAUAGAAAAUAAAAUGAAAAGCAUUUACCCCCAAAGAAAAUAAUAGAACUGAACAGAAAUAAUAAAAUAUGGAUAACAAAUUAAAGAGUUAUCAUUGGUGUUCUUUUCCUUAAAUUAUUUUGUCAAACUUCUUUAAGAAAUGAAGAGAAUCUUUUAUUGCCUAAUGGGAAUUGUGUUUACCCCAGUAGUGACAAAAAAAAACUGAAAAAACAAAAGAAAAGAUCCAUUGACAUCCGGAAUAUUAAGGUAGUGCAUGUCAUUUUUUUUCUUUUGAGCUUUACAUAGUUUUCAACGUUCAAAUCAGUAAUGAACACUAGUAACUUUAGUGUCAAAUCUAAAGCGGAUAUGGCUGGAGAUUCGAUAUUUAUUCAGAAAGUAAGAUUAGUGUAGUAGUAGCGUGAUCGUGUGUUAAAGAGUAUAUUAGCUUUAAAUGAGCUCAUAAUCAUAUCGUAUUAUUAGAUCGACUUUGUAUUGUCUGUAAAUGAAUAUAUGGGUUGUCGGAUCAGAUUUGUAUCGACUCGUGCAGGCAUUGAAUAUCUAUCAACUUGAAAUUAGAUAGUCCUGGCUUUGCCAAAUAUUCUGUGUGUACAAAUAGUCCGUCCAUGUGUGUUGUGGUGAAAUGAAUUAAAGAAGUCCAUUCACAUUAAAAUUAGCAACAACCCUUUUUCACUCUUUCGAGAUAAAAUAUCGUUAAAACAAUUUCAAAUAUCUUAGAAUUUCAUUUUGUUUUCUUAAGUUCGCACUGUUUAUUUUCUUUUAGUAAUUUAUUAAACAUAAGAAAUAAUAACACGUGAAGAAGUUGUUUUGGUCGUUUCACCCCUUGAGGAGAAGAAUAACAAAAGAGAUAAGUUCUAUUAAGAUUUUGAAAAUGUAGUUGAAUGAGACGAAAUUUCAUAUAGAUUUUAUUAGAUAUUACCAAAAUAUAAAAUAUACAUUGAUUUUUUUUUUCAAUUUGGUAAAUAAAAGUUAGUCGGAUCGUGGCUCUUCGACGCUACCAAAGGACGAUCUUCUUUUCAACCCACUAGGCACGCGCUCUCUUUAAGCGACCGACAGUAUAGAGAGAUCAAAGAGGUGUAUGCAUUUGGAUUAUCACCCUAAUGAUUGUCCUUCUAUACUUACAAUAUCGUUUUAGCUAUUUUCUGGUCGUCAGCUAUUUUAAUUUGUAAGUCCUAAAUACUGAUUUCAGUUCGUUAAGCAUAUGCAACAUAUCUAUCAUCCAACUAUAUAUAUUCGAUAUAUCUCAUUCUAUGAUUCAACUAAGUGUUUCAAAUAAUUAAAAGAAUCAUCUACGUAUGUUAUGGAACUUGGUAUCAAUCCUUUGAAGUGCUAAGCCCCCUCAAAAAAUGCAACUUCAAUUUACUAAGAGCAUCUCCAAUGUAAAACUCCAUUUUUUAAAAAAAUGGAGUAAAAGUAAAAAUGGAGUAAAAUUGCUCCAACCCUACUCCAUUUCUCACUCCAUUAUGGAGUGAUGAACAAAAAAAAAAUAAACUACUCCAUUUAUGGAGUAAAUUUCAUUAUGGAGUGAGAUAUGAAGUUGGGUUAGAGCAUUCCUUACUUCAUAUCCACUUUUACUCCAUUUAUGAGGAAAAAAUGGAGUUGGAAUGAAGAUGUCCUAAAUGAAAGUUAAAAUAAAAAAUCAACUACAUUAAUGGAUACAGGAUAUAUAUGUUAGUUAGUUAAAACUCCACUUUAAGUCUUUAACUUACCAAAGAAUGUGACAUGAACGGGGUUAUGUCUCCAUUAGCAUGUCGUUAAUCUUAUUGUUUGGACACACUACAGAUAAUUGCUACAAAAGUGCACGUCGCAUUUUCAUCCUCAUGAUAGAGACCCCUCCCCCACAUUGGGUCGAGUAAACCACGCCAUAAAUUAGUCCUUUUCAUACAAGUCUUAAUAAACUAUUGAUACUAUUUGGCUUUUAUAUACAGGGCCGUGCCUGACAUUUGGCAAGCUAGAAGCAAGAAAAAAAAAAUUGACCCAGAAAUGCUCUAUCCAUAACUCGAACCCAGGGCACCCAACAAGAGAAACUCAAAUAAUAGCAUCUUUAACCAUCUCUGCUACCUAAUCUUCAUGAGAAUUGACCCCAAAAAUGUUUUUAUACUGAUUGGCCCUCAAGCAAAUGCUUGAUGGACUUGUAUCCAGGCCCGGCCCUGUUUAUAUAUAUCAACAUCCGAAACGAACAGAAUAACAGUUGCAUGAUUAAACUUUAUUUACCAUUGUAUAAACGUGUUAUGUAUAUCUAAACAAAAUUUGUGUUCAAAAAAAAAAAGUAUAUCUAAACAAAAUAUGUGAAUAUGAUAAGGUUUGGUUUCCUAUUUUAUCAUGAUCUAGAAAAGCAUAUCUUGAAGAAACGCUAAAAUUUAAGAUAUAAAUAAGGAUGAGUUCAACAAAAAGAGGAAAGACUUACAAGCACCAAGCGAUAGAUAACAUGUCACGAGAAGAAAUCGUAAUAUCAAGGGGGAAUCUAUUGAGAUAAUGUUACAAUAACAAGAGGCAAUGAGACACUGGGGGUGAUUGGUUGGGUUGUAACUAUAAAAAAUUUACUUUAGCAUUUUGUCUGUAGGAUUUUUAAUUUAGCAUUAAGUGAUGUAGCUUUAAAAUUUCCUACAGCUAAAAAAAUGAGGCUUUAGAAAAUAAGAUGUUUACAACCAUUUUUUAUGUGUUUUUGCUGUAGCUUUAAUUUUUUGGUUGUAGCUUUAAAAACCAAGAUAAAACAUGAUUGGUAAUAUUUAAGGUUGUAGAUGGAAAUUAAAGCUAAAGUCACUUUCUACAUCCCAACCAAUCACCCCCACUGUUUCACUUUCACAUUGGUCUAUACAUGCUUCAAUCAUUUAAAUAAAAAUAAUGUAACUGUUUUUUUUCUUCCUUAAAUUUAUAGUUGAGUAAUUGGCGUAGAUACACCCAGAAACUCAUGUAAUUUGCCAUAUAAACUUAUUUCUUUUUAAUAUUUUUAAUGACUAUAAUACCCUUAUUUCUAUUUAUCUCUCUUCUCCCUUUUAUGUGUUCUAAUCUCUUUAUCUCUCGUACAAAUUCUUCAAAUCUUCUUCUAAUUCAACACAAAUCUUUAUUUUUUUAUUCUGAUUCUUUUGACACCCAUAAUGCUAAUCUUAUUAUCUCACCCCAAUUCCAAUGUUUCUAAUUUCGAAUCACAAUCAACUUUUAUAUAAUAUACACGUUAGUAGGUAUUUUAUUACUUACAUGCUAUUAUUUAGAUUUUAAUGGAUUCUUAAUCGAUACAUAAAGUGUUAGCUGUUACAAAUAGAUUUGGAGCUAUUUAAUAGAUAACUAAUUAAUUGUUAAUAGUUUCAUUAACUGAUAUAUGAUUUGUUAGUCGAUACAUUUGUUUGAUACAUAGAUUGUUAGAUGAUACUGAAAUUAUUAGCGGAUAUAUUAGUUGGUAUGUAGAUUGUUACCUGCUAUGUAAAUAUUUAGCUGAUAGAUCUAGAGUUACUUGUUUUCGACAAAGCAUAAGGGUAUUUUCGUCCGUACAGUGUCAAAAAGUUACUCCUUUUUGAGUUAUCCAUAAUUAUGGGCAUUCAGCAAAUUUGGACCUUAAUUGGAGAUAUUCCACACAUUGUCUCUUUAUAGUUUAAUAUUAGUUAUUUCUUCUUCUUUUUUUUAUAUCAAAAUUUGUAAUUAUUUAAAAAAAUAUUUAGAAAAAGGGGAAGCUGCAUGAGUAAGCAUCUAAUUUUGAACCCAAAAAGCAUAUAUUAAAGGUCAAUUGCCGUACGAACGUCGUUCUGAAUUGAUUGCUCUACACAUUUAAGCGAGUUUGAAAAAAGAUUAAAACAUCGUCCCAACUCCAUGUCCCAGCUAUUUACUUCCAGAUUGAGAAAUGUGAAGUAGACAUUCUAAUCUUAUAUACUAAUAUACUAUCGGGUUUACUAUUUCUAGUUGUUUUCGAUAAUCUUAGUUAGAACCUAAUAUUAAAAAAUAAAUCAAUUUACUCAAUUCUAAUUUCAUAUCUAAUUUCAGCUUAAUUAUUUAUCUAUUUUUCAAAGUAAGUAACCUUAAAUUUUGCAUUACCCUUGUUUCUAGACUAAAAUAGGUUUCGUUUUUUUUUUCUCUCGAUGUCAAGUAACUUAAAAGAAAAAAACUCUCUAAACGGUUAAUAUUAUUAACAUAUGUAAUUACUGUAGAUACCUACCCAUAUUUCAUUUGAUUGAUUUAAAAGCUUUAAAUAGGUUCGAAAUGUUGGAAAAAACAAGUUUGGAACAAAUUUAAUGUAAAAAGAAGAGAGAGGGGGACCACCCUUACCAUUCAGCAAAGGUUAAAAGAAAAGCGACAAGUAGUAUACAUUUAAGAGCAACAGUAUAGUAGUGGCCCUUACUAGUUUUAUCUUAUCUUUCUGUAAUCAUAUUCUUUUCGUAACAUUGAUGUCUGUAAAUAACAUACUGACUGAUAUAACGAAACUUUUUUUUUUCAUUUCAAAUUUAGUUUAGAAAUACUAAUAUUUUUGCAGCAAGGUCUCUUUUGCAUGUCAAAGAUUCAACUGUGACAAAGUUAGGGCCACUUACAACAAAGCAAACAAGUACACAUUGUUAUUCUUGUUCAUGUUUGUAUCCGAAACCAUGGCGAGACCGCAUCACAUUGCGUACACAAUCUCUCCGCUACUGUCGAUGUCAAGAUCAUCCAAGUCGCUCUCUAGAUCUUCCUCCAUAUCCUCAUCUAUAUCCAAGCUUCCUGUUUUGUCACCAACGUUGAGAACUUUAGAAAAACAAGAAAAUUGAAUAAGCUUUCUUAUCUUUUGUGUUGUUUCACUUCACCUGUGAGGUAAUGGUUUAGACUCUGCAUGCCAGCAGGAGGAACAGUUGCUUCUGCAAUGAUCUGCAUGAUCUCUUCAAUGCUUUGACCUGGUUGAUCCGAUUCAUCAAACUGGCUAUUCAUUGUGUCAUCGUUCAUGAUAUCUACCGGUAGAUUCUUAAGAAACCAUUCAUGGUUCCUUAUUUCAGGAAUUGAUAUCCUCUGCAAGAAACAAACAAAGAGAAAAGCUAAACAAAAACACAUUCAAAAACGUGGGUUACAAGGUAUCUAUGCAUAUACCUUAGCAGGAUCAGCAACGAAUAUUCUGGAGAUCAAGUGGCGACAUUCAGGAGAUAUGUGAACAUAAUCAGGAAUAGCGUACUGAACAUUCAAGAUUCUCUGAGAAAGCAACAGAACAUAAUCUUUAGCUAGCUAUAUAUAUGUUGGAAGAUAACAUUUUUUGUUUCAACUAAUAGAAACCAUGAAGGAAGAAAGCUCUCUCACAUGGAUAGUUUUCCUGAAAUUCUUAGGCUCUUCAGGAUCUUCAAAAGGAUAUGCUCCAACAAGCAUUACAUAGAGAGUUACUCCACAUGACCAAACAUCUGCAACCUGAUGAGUUAUGAUGCAUUUGACCAACUCAAACCAUUAAAGUAUCAAGAUAGUCUCUGUUGCUAUACUAAGAUUUGUAUAAUAUAGCAAAAAAAAAAAAAAAGAUUUGUAUAAUAUAAUUGUUAGUAUUGGAGGGUUACCUUGCCAUCAUAUUCUUUCUUUAGCAAAACCUCAGGAGCGAUAUAAGCAGGCGUUCCAACAGUUGAUUUUGGCUGUGAAUGUAAUACUGAUGACUGAAAAACAACAAGAGCAUACACAAAGUUAUUGUGAGACAGAAUCUAGCACAAGACCAAAAACUUUAUACAUGAAUUUUUAUAUGUUUUGACAAAGAAUGGAUACCUUGGAAUAACCAAAAUCACAUAUUUUUAGACGAGGUGCAGGGCUACCAUCUAGUAACGUAUUCUCCAGCUUCAAAUCUCUGUGACACACUUGCUAUAACAUCAAAGUGAAAUAACAUGAGAGUUUGAUUUUAACAGAGGAUCUAAACUAGAUCAUUUUCUCAUUACCAUAGCAUGACAGUAACUAACUCCUGAAAUGAGUUGCUGGAAGAAAAACCUCGCCUACACAGGUUAUAACCAAUACAUUAAUCUCAUCUUUGAUUUAACCAUCCAAGCCAAAUAAUAAAAGAGAAGAAGACAAACCUCGUCUUCGCUGAAACGGCCUGCAUUGCAGAUACGCUCAAAGAGUUCUCCUCCAGCUGCGUAUUCCAUAACAAUGGCCAAAUGUGUUGGUGUUAAUACGACCUGAAACCAAACAAACAUGAGCAUUUCAUAUAUGUAUAUAGGAGACACGAAAAUUCUCCUUGUGAUUUGAUUUUAAAGAGAGAGAGUUGAAGACAAACCUCUUUGAAUCUAACGAUAUUGGGAUGUCUUAAGGACCUAUGGUUAAUUAUCUCCCUUUUUACAUUUUCAUCUAUCUGUAAAAAUAAUAGAAAAAAAAAAUCAAAGAAAUCUCAUGACCAAUAAUAAUCAUGUUCCACAUUCGAAUUAUGAAAGAUCCAUAUCAGAACAAAGUAAAUGAAGAUGAUGUAACAACUAUGUUGAUGAUUUUCUAUAUAACUAACGCUUCAUUGAUUCACAUAAGCAAUCAAACACACAAGUGAAUUAAAAAAAAAAAAAUCAAGAAACCAGAGGGAUUGAGAAAAACACUAACCUUCUCACCUCUCUCGAUGUAUUUGACAGCAAGAAGCUCGUUACUUAGCUUGUCUCUCAUCAAUCUUGCAACUCCGAAAUUACCGGAGCCAAUAUCUUUGACGAGCUCGUAUCUGUCGCUAUCGUGCAUGAUCGGCAAAUCCAUUGGCCCACUCACUGCUGGUCGGUCCAUGUUUAUGUUCCUUUGUCUGUAUGUUAGCUCAAAGUUGUUUCAAGUGAAGAUUAGAGCAGGUUUCCGGGAGAUAUCUAACAGAGACUCGACAUUACUAAACUGUACAUCUGAAGAAAUGAGCUAACCUGACGUGGAGGAAUUUGAGCCGUUGAGGUUUGAGAAAGGGUAGUAGGUGAUGAUGAUGAUGAAGUUUAUGGGUGUGGGAAAGAGACUUUUUGAGACACGUGAAAUCUCUAACCAACAAGUGGGUUUCUUGAGAUGUUUUUGUUCUUUUGUUUGAUCCCUGUCUUUCUUUUAUGUUUUUUUCCAAUUCGAAGAUGAUUAUGAAGAAGAAGAAAGGGUUCGUGAUGGUAAACUAUGUUUCUCUCUCUAUCAGCUCGUUAUAAAGCAGCUCUCUGUUCUGUCUAAACCACAGCUUGAAGGAAAGAUAUAGAGGAGAGAGAGAUGAGACAGAGUUUUCACAAUUCCUGAAUUGUUGGAAUGUGAUUUGUUAAAAAAUAUGGGAGAAAGUUUUCAAUGACGGAACUACCCUUCUUUCCACUUUGUUAAAUAUGAUAAACAUGAUACAUUGAACUAAAUUUACACACAAAAAAUUUACAUAGAUUUAUUAUCUUUUAUAUCACAUCCCUAUGAUUAAGUACUAUAAGAGUGAAAAAAAUAAAAUUAUUAUAGCAGAAUAUAGCUUUAAUGGUUAAAAAUAUAAUAGUAAUCUAAACUUUUAAAUGAGUAUUAAAUGAAUAAAAGUGUUACAUUUUAAUAUAUUUGUAUUGUGUGUUUUUUGUUGAAUAUGUAUCUAGCUAACCAAUGAAAAAAACACAAACUAUAGUUUAACAACAUAAUUAAUUUAGGGGUUUAUCUGACUAUAAGUUUUGUAUGAACCUGAAGCUUAGCUGAUGAGAUAAUACAAAGUCGCAUUAACAACCUUAUAUAAUCAAUCAUAGACCGCUAUCCCCAAUGCUUUUUUUGUUUCUUGGACAUUUCCCAAUGUAUUCUGACUUUCUGAGGUCAGUAUGUCCCCAAAUGUAUUUUAAUCUAAAUAUAGAAAAGACUUUCCUCUUUGGUAUAUAAAAAGUAUUUUUGCAUUAAAAAGAAGAAAAUAAAAUAAUAAAGGUUGCCACAUUUGUCGAGAUAUUGUUGGCUAAUUUGUCCGAUCUCACCUAAAAGUAGAAGCCGAUAGAGAUGCAUUCAUCAUAGGCCCAUUCCCCCCUAAUAUUAUAAAGUGUGAAUGGGUCUCCACAUGACGCAAUUAUUUAUUUUAAUCUUAUAAAAAUAUAUUUCCGUACAUAAUAUUCCGAAUACACUCUUCUAGAGAGGUGAAGGUUGGUGACAGCAGAGAAGAGACUUUAACAAAACAAAAAAAGUAGAGCACAUAAAAGAAGAGUUCAUAAGACUCGGAGUUGUUUAAAGUUUCCCAUUUUACUACAUGAUCAGCUAUUCAGACAAUACAAUCGACGCAAAAGCUUUGGCUUACCCAAAAGCUGAACUCAAUGCACACCGUUAAUGGGAAUUUGCUUCAAAAAUGGAUCAUAAGAAAGUGCAGAAGCGAUUGGUACCAAACCUCGUCAAAUCGUAGUUUGCAUGAAUGUAGCGAUGGGGAAGAUUGGCCUUAGCUAUUGUAGUUAUCAAGACCAAGGUCUCUCAGUGCAUCAGUUGCAGAGGCUCUGCAUAUCUCAUUGUUUGCCUUAGCAUUCCUUAUCAACUUCUCAAUUCCACUGGCAAGCAGAAUUUUUCUGUAAUUGAACAUAAGCUUAUCUGAUCAGAAUUUGUGCGAUAUGUGAAUAUUGUUGAGAUGAAAGAAAAAAAUUGGAAAGAGAUUUUUUUACCUGUUCUCUGCAUUUCUCACAGCAAUGUUUCGUAUCAUGUUGCAAGCGUUUCUCUGCAUUUGAGCCGCUGCUGGGAACCUCUUCAUAGCUUGGAUCGCCAGAUCACCAGCUCCAGCUUCUAUAGCACUGGCUGCAUGGUCUGGUGAUCUCAGACAGAUUAUAGAGAUUAUAGACAUGACCUGAACAAACCGGUAUAUGUCAACCACAAGGAUUAUGCACUCAGACCCUAGUGUACUAGUUACAGAAAAUAAACUCCUCACUCGACAUAACGUUCUUAUCUAUUCUAGUGUAACACUGCCAUAGACCUGACCCGUAGUCAGUAGUAGUAGUCGCAACAGGAAUGUAGUAAGAGGGUUUUCUUUUGGUUUACUUACCUCUUGUAUGACUAGAGGAUCGUCCGAGAAUCUUUGUGCGAGUUUGAUUAACUUGUCUAGACCCCGCUUCUCAACUAUGGUGCUCUUGUUAGAGUCGCUUCCUGCCAACUAGAGAUUCAAGUACACAUUUAGACAAACAGGUCUCACGCGUGCUUACAAUAAUAAUCUACAUCAGCAAUUCUAGACUCUGGAAAAUGAAAAAUUCGAAAACAUGCAUUAAUCACUCCUCUGUUACAGGGAAAACGUUAACAUACUCUACUGUCUAAUAGAGGUAGCAAAAACUUAAAACCUGAAAUUUAAAGCAGAACUAUCAACAAUUAAAAGACAUUUAAUACUAUAGAGGUAGCUUGCAUGACUAAGAACAACUGAAGGCGUUCAAGACUACAUAGACAGGUUGCAGAACAGUUUAGAAGCUACACACCUUGGACAACAAUGAACAGCACGUCUUCGCAGCAGUAUUGUUGCCUUGUUCACCGCUAUCAUCAAUACACCUAAGAAGUGUGUCUAUUCCACCACUUUCAGCAAUAGAUUUACAUAUUUCAUCCUGUUUACAGAAAAAUAAAUGUGCGUAAGGUGUUACAACAAGAAACAAAAUGAAUAAUACACAAUGACUAACCAGUUAAACGUUAUGAAAGAGAGAUUUGUACUAGCAUACAACUUACGUUUACAGCAAUUGAUUUUAACGCAAUACUUGCUGAGACCAAGCUAUCCGAGCCAAUCCCUGCCUGCAAUGCUUCGGUGAGGGAUCUUGCAAUCCCUAAUUUGGCAAAAGUCCGCGCAUAACUAUAAACCUAAAAACAUAUGACUAUUAGCUAUUUUCUAAUGAAAUAAAGAUAACACUUUCUAGUUGUUGUAAUAUGUGCUUUUAACACGUGAGUAUGAAUCCUACAUACUUGGGAAGCAACCACACGGUUAUCAUCUGGGGUCAAAAGAACACGAAUAGCAUCAUACAAAGCUCUAAUGGUAACUUUACUCUCACGAUUCAGCACUUUCAGAAUAAGCUCAUCGACUUUCAGCUCCAUGAAUAUCUCCUUCACAACUUCGUUCCCAGUGGCUGCAGCAGCAACAACAGCAAAACCAGCAUCUAACAAAUCAGAAUCAAAGCCAGAGUCUCUCAACAGAUCAACCACAAUCCUCGGUCCAGAAGCACUCCUGAACGCCUCUGUACUCUGAAUGUCUGCAAUUAGAUAGUCACAUGAUCAACAAAAAAGGAAUAAACACUAAUUCAAGAACCUUAAUCAUACCAUGGAUCAAUACAGCCAAAGCUUUCAAGCACGGAACAACAAUGACAUUAAUCCUAGCGUCUAUCUUGAUUUUGGAGCAAAUCGAGCAAGUUAGCUCCACGGCACCAUGCUUCGUAGCAAUCGCCACGUUUCCUGACUCUUGGCCGCUACAAAGCUCGUUGAGCUUGACUAACAAACUCGAAAUCUCAUCAAAUUCAUCAUCGAGCUCUUUGAGUCUAUCUAAACAAGCAAUCACUGGAUUGUCCUUGACGCUGCUUUCUCCUGGAACACAAGUGAUGAUCCCUAUAGCACACAAAAGGAAAACAAAAGAAGGAAUCAUUUCCUCCUCUAAGCAUGAGUAUAGAUCCAGCUCAAGAGAGUAAGGGAAGUGAAAGCGAAAAGAGGUUACGGACCGGAGAGAUCGACGCCUUGGAGCUUGAGUGUGUAGAGAGCGUCUUCGAGAGCUUCGGAAGGUUCCAUUCCUAGAUCUUCCACGUUUUCCUUAACGAGAUCGUCGAAUGCCUCCUGAGAUAUCGCACGAGUAGCCAUUCUCGCUUGCUCCGCCGUUAUACGAUUCGUCGGAUGAUAUAGAAAUCGCCGUUCAGAUGGAUCGGAGAAAAAGAUUGGAUUCAAAAUUGUGUUUGGGAGUAGAAAGGGUGUUGUGGUAAAACGGCGCCGUUUCUUAGCAUCCGCGUUACAUUCUCGAGAUUCCAGACGACCACGUUUAGGCGUCAUAGCUGGGAUAAACGGCAUCGUUUGUAGCAUCUCGAGAUUCCACACGACGACGUUUAAGCGUCACAGUUGGGAUAAACGACGUCGUUUGUAGCAUUUGCGCUAGAUCGCCUCGAGAAUCUCGAGAAGACGACGUUUUAAAACCGUCAAUACAAUACUGUUUAUUUUUUAUCUUUGAAUUGUUUGAUAAUAGACGAAUAUACUCAAUAUGAUUUUGCUUAUGGACAGUAAACUGCACAAAACUAAUGGUUUUCUAUGAUCUAACCAAACCUAUCCACAAUGAACAAACGUUUGCUUUCUUCUUCACAUGUUAAUACAACUCAUUAGUCUGUUAAAGCUUCCCUUUGGCCUCAUUCUGGUUCAAGUUCUGCAGCUGCAACAUGCCUAACCCGCUGAGCAAGACGUCUCCUCCUAUAUACCCCCACCAAGCGCAGAAUCAGAAUCAUUGCUAUAGCACUGAACUCGAACACCGUCACUAUUCUGAACCCUCCUGUACAAAACGGUGAACAUCAGUCUUUUAGAAAAAGGGUUUGGACUCACAAGAACUUCGAUUCUAAUCACAUCAAUCUCAAAUGAUUCUUGCAGAGGCAUAGGCCAGGAGAAUCUCAAUCUUGUGAGGCAACUUACCCGUUGGGAUGAAAUUAAACUCGGUGGCAGUGUAGAGGGUACUCAUCAACAUCUGCAACACAGAAACAAACUUAGUUUCUCUUCCUUCUAUAGUAGAAUAAUAGAUACAAAGCUGUUACUCCUACGAUAAUCACAGAGCAUAGAACUACCACCGAGAUGGAAACUAUGGCUCAAAACGUUCUUAACUGCAAAGAUGCGAACUUCGUUAAAAUGCAGGUUGGUAGUAUCCGGAUCCAUAAUGUGCCACACCAUUCUCUUCAUUAACAAAGGCAGCUCCUGCACUUUCUGAAACAUUUUGAACGAUGAUGGUUUUUGUCAAAGCCAAAGCACUCAUGAGAAUAUGAAUCAAAUCCAUUAAUUACCUGAAGAAAGCCAGUUAAACCUCCAACAAAGAGACGGUUAUACCUACGGAUCUUAGCAAGAACCUCCUUCACCUCCGGCUCUUGGCGCUGUUGCAAGGACGCUUCCGGAGAGAGCUUGGUGAUGUGACGAACACACAUGGGACACUUGCAAGGCCUUGAUACCGCAGCGUAGUUCCAGUACUGCAAGAUGCAGCUUCCUAUAUGUAACACCACAACACUAAUAAACGAAAUUGGACUCAGAAAAUUUUAUUAAGGAAGGAGUUAAAGAUCGAGCAAUUACCGCAAUACCAAUGGCCACAAUCACCUCGACACGGAACCGUGAAGGAGCCGAAGCAGAUCGGGCAGCAAUCAUCCUCUGGAGGCGUCUCGCUCUGUGUCUUCUUCCUCUCUCCGUCAUUAUCCCUUUCGAUCUUCCUCUCCUCUGCUGCCGUCACGGCUCCGUCAGCGAGCACGACGGCGUUUGAAGCCUCCUCCGGCUCGCUACGACCAUGAGUUUCCGUCGCCGUGGCGUUUACCUCGUCGGUUUUCACCUCCAUUCUCUAUCUCUCUCCGUUUCGUCGCGUUCUUGGAAGAUUCUUGUUUUACGAACUGAGUAAAUUCGAUUGAAUUUUCAACAGCUUAUUAUAAGAUGAAAAUUUCAAAGCGUGUUCGGAUGCAAAUGACUGAUUUACCCUCGGUAUUUUCGGUAAGAUAAAGGUAAGUUAGAAUGUCAGAUUCAUUCAAGUAUGAUUUUAAUACAAGUGGUUAAUUUAGGUAAAUCUAUACUAUACUAAAAGGGAGAUAUAAGCCAUGGAGAGGGUUAUAUAUAUAGGACAGUUACCACUAAGCCAUUGAAACUUUCUUGGACACAUAUACAAAAACCACUAAGUAUAUAAUCACAAACUCUUAUGUACAUUUACAAUAAUAUGAAUUCAACUUUCAAGACUCCGAUACUUUGUUUUGUAAAAAAAAAAUAAGUAAGUGACUAAGCUAAUAUAUUCUUAGAAAGUGUGAGAACGUUGACAAAUAUGAAAAAGCAUAGAUUUUUGUUUUCGUGACAAAGUUAAGAUUUUUAAAAGUAAAUUUAACAUAUAAAUUUUCGUGACAAAUAUGAAAAAGCAUAGAUUUUUGUAAAAUUUUGACAAAACAACUCAUAACAUACUUCUCUAAUGUCUUAAUAAAAUAUUAUUUAAGGGUGCAAUAAUUAAAUAUAUUAAUUCAAUAAAGUUUGUAAUUUAUAGACAAAACAAUAACACAACAAAUUUUGAAACAUUUGUUUAACCUAUCGAUUUUUUUUCAUGAGAAUCCAACUAAACAAGAUAAAAAUAAUAAUUAGAUUUACAAAUAUUUAAUUACCAUUUUAUUCAAUUUUGAUUAAUUUCAAAUUGUCAUAAUGUAUCUUUUUGAAGUUACAAAUAUGAAAAAGCAUAGAUUUUUGUACAAUUUGACAAAACAACUCAAAACAUAUUUUUCUAAUGUCUUAAUAAAAUAUUAUUUAAGGAUGCAAUAAUUAAAUAUAUUAAUUCAAUAAAUUUUAUAAUUUAUAGACAAAAAAAUACCACAACAAAUUUUGAAACAUUUGUUCAACCAAUCGAUUUUUUUUCAUGAGAAUCCAACUAAACAAUUAGAUUUACAAAUAUUUAAUUACCAUUUUAUUCAAUUUUGAUUCAUUUUAAAUUGUUAUAAUGUAUCUUUUUGAAGUUACAAAAAAAUAAUGUUCUUUCUUUAUUACACUAGCAUUAUAUAUAGAUUCUAUAUACACAAAAUAAAUAUAAUAUAACAACAUAAGCUUGCUUUCCCUGAUUCAUAUGAAAACUUUUUAAGUUAUCCACCAAAGCAAAUUAAUUAAAUCAUUGAAAUUGUUAAAAUACAGCANNNNNNNNNNNNNNNNNNNNNNNNNNNNNNNNNNNNNNNNNNNNNNNNNNNNNNNNNNNNNNNNNNNNNNNNNNNNNNNNNNNNNNNNNNNNNNNNNNNNAAAUUACAGUGGAGUCAACAACUCCCUCAGGCAUAUUCAGGAGAGAUUGUUGUAGCUCUAUAAUGGCACUGUCCGAACGCCUAGUGAUCCAAAGAAGUUUUGCCUUUUCCAUGUGAACAUUAGGUGCACCAGAAGCCUGAGCUUCCAAAAGUGCCCUGUGAGCUGUCUCAUAGUGCCCAGCCAAACGGCAAAGCUUUGCAUAUUGAAGCCAACAGUUCCCAACUUGAGCACCAAGCCCAGAGGCACCAAAGACAAGCCUUCGGAAAGCUAAAAGGGGUUCCCUUGUCCACAAUGAUGAUUGAGUGAACCUGAGCCGGUUCUCCCAGUUAUCAACUACUUUUGAAAACACUGGAUCACUUGUACUAAAUGAUUUCUCCAGAUAUGAUUCCCCAUUAAGAAGCGCCUGGAAGUCCUCUAGCUCUCUUAGCAAGUGAAGUUUGACAACAAAAGGAUAAGCUCGUGUAUAGGAGUCCAUGCCUGCAGCAGCUAGAGGAGCAAUAAGAGCUUGCUUGGAAAUUGCUAUUCUCUCAGCUACGGAAUAUUGAUCCUUCUUCAUCAUUGCUUGGAGAAUCUUUGCAACAUCUCUGUCAAAAGAGGCAUUACUGUCUGAACUACUGAAGAGUAGACCUUCUUCAUCUGCUCCACCAAGAUACUCAUCCAUCAAGUCCCAUUUUCCGAGUCUCCAUGCAGCUUGUACACCUUGCGUACACCACGUUUUCUUGUACUCAGGUACUCUGGAAAUUAGUCCGUCAACAUGAGUGACCAUUGUCUGAUGGUGGCACAUGUUAAGUAAGCAAUUAAGAACAUCUGAGUGUCUUUGAACUGAUGUUGGUUCCAUCUGAAGGGCUUGUUCACAUGCAGUAAAAACUUCUGCCCAGUUACCAGAUUUCUUAUCUAUCAACAAUUGGUCUUGCAAACUUAACGAUUUGCUUAAACUUGCAAAGCCAGAAAGACCAUCAGGCUCGUCAAGACAGCUGUAUAUUCCCAUCAGAGAAGAAACAUCAGCAUUUUCAAAGAAGCCUGUCUUCUCAGCUGCCGGAUUCAAGGAACCCGACUUUUCACGUACAUGGGAUUCAAGGUACAUCAACGACCUAGCAUAUGCUUGACACCUGAAUGAUGCCCUAGCAAGGGUCACCUUGGGAAUAGCAAGCAAAAGCUCCAACACAUAUUUACACUGUACAAGAAGUUGAUCCUGUUCUGUUGUUGAAGUUGAAACCUGGUCUUUUGAUUUGGAUGCUACUUGUCUACCGCCUGAUGACUGUACAGACAAUGAGAGUGCUACUCCCUGCUUCACAUCAUCAACCCAUUGCCCAAGGUUGUCAAGAAGCGUGAAAACAGAUUGAACACAAACUUCACUCCGACCAACACCAAAAUUGUUUACCCCACUAUUUUCUGAUGUAGCAGCAUCAAGAACAGAAAGGAUCUCUUCCGAAAUGCUAAGCCGUGCUGCCUCCGUCCCAUGGCAAACAACAUCCAAAACUAAAUAUGGUAAGAGAUAAGUAGCUGUCUGCAUAUCGUGACGCACUAUGCCCCGGCAAGCAGCAAAUAUGCUUACACGGGAUCCAUUUGCAUGUGCUGUCAAUUUCUUUAUCCAGUAGGAUAGCCAUCUUCUGAAUGACAUAGAUGGCCGAUAAAUUGGUCCAGCUGAUCCGGGGUCAGACACAUUUGGAAGCUGAAACCUUGAAGUCAAGCAGGGAGCUAUUAGUUCUUUAACAUAGUUUGAGAACCGGCCCCAUAGUUUGUGUCCCCUUUCAUUCACUUCACUGCUACGUCCAGACUUUAUAGAACCAGAUACACUGACUUGCACAGGUUCCUGAGACGUAAGGACAACAACAUUCCCAGCUAAUGAUGGCUCACAACCAGCAAUCUUUAGUAAUUCCUGUAUAGCAAGAGCAGCAGAGUCUUGUAUGAUUGUAUCCUGUGCAGCUCUAAAAGCUCUUGCCAAGUGUUUGUCGAUGAGCUCAAAGAUAAGAUCAUCAUCUGAGCACUGGAUUUUAAAACGGUUGCACGAAGCAACUCUCACUUUGGCGGGGUCAACAGCACCUACAGCUCCAAGACAAUCUGCACAGACUAGCUUCAACCUCUGACCCACUGUAGUUCUUGAUUCUUCUGAACAUCCCUGUAGUAACGAUGUGAUCAAAGAGCUCAAGAUCUCCAUGUCUGACAUAAGUUCACCGGAAAUCAGUGCAGCAACAUCUUCAUUUCUUUGAUAUAACAAUUUGCUUAGCUCACAUGCCACCAUGUAUCUAACAUUCAGGUUCUCAUGUUUCAUACCAUUUACAAUUUCCCGUAACUGAUCCUUCAGGCUCAUUAAUCCACGUGCUUCUUGAAUAGCAUUGUUCAGUCCUGCUAAAGAAGGUAUGCUAGGUAAGAGUGGGAACUCACAGAUGUGCUGCUUUAGUAUAUCUCUAUUCUUCAAAACAAGUUCUUCAAGAAUUUUCACCACUUCGUCUAGACAUACAUGGGGACCUUCCUUCUCUCUUUCCAAGAAGGGUAUAAGCGCCGCAAAAACCUGAGAAAUCACAUGUUUUAUGCUAGACGGCGAGACGGCGGCCAAUUUUUUUGUGAAAAAAUGCAAGACUAAGAGACCCUCGCUCUGAAGUGCAUCUUUGUCAAUGGCAUGCAUAAGGAGAACCAUAAGCUUCGGCACAUAUGUGCUGAGAUAGUGACCCAUCAUCUCAAUGAGCAGCUUAAUACGCUUCAAUGCUUGUUUUUGAAGGAAAAUAUCGUCGGCAUGAAGCAUUUUUCUGUCAAUACUGUUAAGGAGUCCAACAAAAUGGUUUUGUAAGAAUCCUGGAAGAUCUUCAGCAUUUGUUAAGACUUUUGAGAUUUUCUUUAUUGCUUCAGGCAGUCUCUGUAGCCUGCAUAAGAAAAAUUCUGAAAUCAAACAGUAUGUCAUAAGAACAAACAAAAAGGACGUUCAGUUAUUUGUUUAAAAUGAUGAUUGAAGUUUCCUCUCACGACUUUAAACAACCUCUAUCUAGUCCAGUUAACAUGUCAACGUUAAUGAGCACACGAUAGAGCCGUAACCAUGCAUCAAAAGAAGAAGGACAACAUACCGUCUAUCUGUCUCGGCUGUAUCAGCAAUGUCCAAAAAGCACACAAGCUCAUCUAAGAGUGCAGGUAGUGCAGCAGAAAAAAUUUCUUUGUUGUCAGAACCAAUCUGUGAAUGAUACAACUGCAAAACUGAGAGGAGAUUCUUCUCUUCUUCUUGAUUCAGAGCAAAAGCAAGAACUCUGGGUAGCCAAUUUACUAUUAGAGGUACCACAUCUGUGUCUAAUAACUUGGCCAGUUCGUUCAAGGUCUUUGCUGCUUGAGCAUUGUCCUGCCAAUAUACCAAGAGCUUAGGAAGAAUAACAGGGACCAUUUUCUUCACCAGUUCUUCAGUUUCAACACCCAAAACAGCCUCUGCAAAUUCUCUUACUACAUUUGGACGGAUGGUCAGCCUGGCAGAUAGAUUAUCAAACAAUUUAGUUUGAAUAUGUGCAGCUCUGGAAAGUAGCAUCGCAAAUCCCCCUUUCACAUGGAUGUAGCAUGACCGAUUUAUUAACCUUGACGCAUUUACUCGGACGAUCAAGUUUGGAUGAUCAAGCUGAUCAAUCAGCAGGANNNNNNNNNNNNNNNNNNNNNNNNNNNNNNNNNNNNNNAGCAGGAAAAGAGAAAACAAGAAAAGCUCACUGGUAAUAUCAACAGCUACCAUAACUUCAGCUGCCGUUUCCAAGAGAGUCUGAAUGACAAGCAGAUCCUUAGCUGUUGCUAGAGAAUGCUCAAUCAAAUCAACAAAGUUCCUUUCGUAACUUUUUUCCGUAGCAUACUCAUCAAGAAACAAACAGCUCACAAUAGGUUGCUGUACAAAGAUACCAAUCUGCGCACAGAAUGCUUCCCUUACAUCUGUAUUUACAUGAAGUAGCAGAUACUGAAGGCAUCUUAUCCAUUGAGACCGUGUUCUGACCAGAAUAUCUGGGGUUGUGUGACCAAGAACUCUUUGUAUUACUUCUACACAGGCUAGUUGAGUCUCUUCAGAAGAGUCAUCAUAUAGAAGGUUAAAAUAUAAGGAUUGAAGAUCAGAGUAAUCACAAUGAUGACCCAUUUCUAAAUUUCCCAUCUCGGGAGUCUCUAUGAUUCUGAAAUGCUUCUCAUCUUUGCUUUCGAUAAGUUUAUCACACUUCGAACACUGGAACCCUUGAAGUAGACAGUUCAGAGUCUCAUCUUUCUUUAUAUCUUCAUGUAGGAAUAAAUGGCAUGCAGUUUUCUCUGGGCCAGUAGCACUUGAUCCAUAUAGGCACGAUAAGAAGCCAAGAGACUGAGGAAUGGUUUUCUUAACCAUCAAAUCCUCUUCUUUCAACAAAUGCCUACGAAUGUAAGACAAAAGAACAGUUAAGUUACGUUUUAAAAGAACCCUGAGCAAAAAGAGCAAUAUGAACUUUAGAUUCAUUAUAAUGUCAUUUUUCCAACUCAUUUCAAUAAUUCUUUUAGUUGCUUUGAUAGGUGCUAUUACUGUGUCUCGUCAAUAAAAAAAGUUCUGAUUAGUAAAAUUAUCAACUUACUCCAGCCUUCGGAAUAUAUGAGGAAGGGCAUCAAGACCAGUGAAAAGAACUUUAAGUGGCAUGGAGAUAACAGCAACAGCUCGCACUUGUUCAGAAUCAUCUGAAAGAGCCAUACUGAAUAUAUCAAAACCACUCCCGGAUUGUAUUCCAAGCUUCGUCCAUAUCCCCACGGAUAAGCACUUAGCCUUUCGUAGCGAACUAGGCCUCUUAAACAGCAGAGAGUGCGUCCAGGGAAGCUUCAGCAAGACUUGUAUAGCAUCCAAAUCAUUCUCUUUACUUGUAUAUUCAUGUUGUAAAUCCAAAUCUGAUGAAAGGAGAAAACAUCAAGAAAUGCUGAACCCAAAACUUGUAUAAAGCAAAGGAAAUGUCAGACUUCAUGGACAAGGAAGGUUACCAAGCACGAGUAGCAUAUUAUAUAUUCCUUCCAAAUAAAGAGAGAUAUCGAAGAUGAUAGAGCUUUUGUUCUCAACCUACAUACGGAUCUUUUUAAAUUAAAAAAAAAACUGAAUUGAAAACUUUAAUAUAAGAAAGGGAUUGGGGAGUUUAUGGUUACCUGCUCAGCUAUCCAGGGUAUCCAGGCAUACAUCUGGCGAAACAAGCGAUAAGUCAUUCUAGUCCAGGGACAUAAACAAAAUGCAUUGGUGAGAAUGCUAAGUGCCAUUAUCGAAAUUUCAGGCCGUAAUAGACUAGGUCCAGCAGGUGGAGCCUUUAAAGAUUCUACAGCUGAAAUAAGCAUCCUAUGCAGAUUGGCAGAAUCCUUUCCAUCAGUCUCAUCAGUAAUUUCAGGAGCAAAGUAAACCCCUUGUUGAGUAUCAACACCAACUUUCUGGCGCUUCCUUUUGUGGGUACUUCCAUCCUUCAUAUGCCUUUUUUGCCCAGCGUUAAUACCCUGAACAGGUCUAGCACUUGCUGCUGUUGUAUGACUACCACAUUUGGCUGUAUCAAAAUCAGGCCCAAGAACUACAAGAACUGCUUGAAAACAUUCUAUCAAUUGAAAACAAGGUUCUGAAAGAUGAAGCAACUCUAGAAGGCAAUGUAGCUUCCAAACAUAAGGAGGACAAGAUUUCACAAUCCGCACAUAAGCACUGCACAGGGAAGCCUGCAUACAUAAAUACCCAGGCAUGAUUUCCCAACAAGUUGUUGAAAGUGCAGCAGCAAAAAUCAAAUAGAAAUAAUUUCAUCAGAAAUUCAUACAAGAUUGAGACAUGUGUAUGAGAUCCAAAUAUACCUUAAGCUCCUCACUCUUUGUUCUCUGUAAUGCAUGAGGGAAGACCAAUACUAUACUUUCUGCAGUUAGUUUGACAGUAACAUCAGAACAACUGGAAUAUACUGUCGCAAGGCAACGUCCAAGGGUAGAAUCAUAAACCGCAUUCCUGUAACACAAACCGAGAAUUUGAAGUCUUAAAAUGAAGGUCAUUUAUCCGAAGUUUCAUAGGAAUAUGUGAGGAAGGUAAACAGAAAAGAUUCAAAAAAUUUUAAAAUUAAUUCACGAUCAUGUCAGAAUCUUGACAAGUUGGGAAACACACCUGUACACAGGAAGUCCUUCUUCAUCUGCACUUAAAAGGAGUAUGAUUGACUGUAUCAAACCCACAUGAGGGAGGAUGUUGAAACUAAGGAUAGAUCCAACGAGAGAAGCAAGUUCAAAGCAUGCCUUCCAAAUCAAUACAGAUAUCAGAUUAGUAUCCCCAAAAAUCAUCCUUACACUAACAAAUCAGAAAAACCAAAUCACCAAGCGAAUGAGCAAAAUAUCAACUCACCAUCUGCACAUCAGCACCACCAUAGCAUACCAAAGAACAAGCCGCCUUUAAAAAUGACGUAUGGAUGAGACCCUCAACGUAGAGUGUCCCCUCGGUUAGGCAUUUACAGAUGAGUUUAAUGACACAAGUAGCAAAAGGCUCCCACCGUUUGGCUCCCAAUAAGCUCAACACAAGACCAUCCCCCUCUGCUGGCUUAUUAGCAACAGGCAGAUCACAAAGAUGACAGGAAUCACCCCAAACUCCGGAAAAGGACAUAGAGAAACACCUAAUCGGAAUGUGAGAUUCAUAUGCAAUAGGUUGCAUAUCUGGUGGACACAUAGAAAAAGGCAUGUUAAGUAGAAGAACUCGUAUUAUUAACAUUCACAGAAUCACUUGGUCUUUGAGUCUCACCUUGAAUAGCCUGCAAAGCGUCGUGGAAGAACAUACGGUAGGCCUUCCUUGAGUUGGAACGCAGCAGCAUUAAGAGAGAUCCAACAGUGUCGAGUAUCACUACAUGCCCAGGACUGCAAUUGGUUAACAAAGAGAAACACAUUAAACCGAAACUCGGUCUAGUAACCAGUGGGGGAUUCAAACUUACGCAAAUUCCGGUUCAGNNNNNNNNNNNNNNNNNNNNNNNNNNNNNNNNNNNNNNNNNNNNNNNNCAGCAAAAAAGGGCAAAAUAUGAGCAAUCACAGGGAAGACGGCAGCAGGAUCUCCGUGAUAGAAAACUCCUGGAAGAUUCCUCGCUGUAUGACCAACAAGCUUCAGUACAGCUGUCACUUCCCUCCUGCUCCCUGGCAAAAUCAAUCAUCCACAUCUGAGGUUUAACCUAAUUGAAAUCAUCCAGAGGGGAAAAAUAGAGAAAGAGAUUGUGGCGAUUUGGUACCCAGAGAAGGGACGACGUAUGCGUUCAGAAGAUUAGGGAUGACGGCUCGAAAUCGAAUCUCUAGAGCAUCGUCUUCUCCGUAAGCGUGGCCAAGGUUGUUAGCCGACGAUGCUGCGACGCGUUCACGGAGUUCGUGAACCAAGCUCGAGAGAUUAUUGUCGUUCGCCAUUUCAGUGUGUCCCAGACGCUUCUUCUCCGCCUGCCUCUCUCCCCCUCUCUCCCUUCCCUCCCAAUUUUUUAAAAGAAAAUAAAAAAUGUAAUUUGUGUAGUGACUGGAGAAUAAUAUGGGAGGGAAACCAAGAAAAAAAUGCAAUAUAUAACAAACAAACAAUUAGUAAUUCAAUAUCUACAGAUAUAAAUAUUUUAUGUAUUUUCAUUUCUAUCAAAAUAAAAUAUUUUUACUUUCCAAAAGUAUGUAUACACUUUUUGUAAUAUAUUUUUGGAAAAUAAAUUUUAUAUAUUAAAUCAUAUUCGGAUUUCUUCAAAAAGUAUUCAAGAUAUAAAUAUUUAUUCGAUCUGCAUUGAGACAAACAGUUCAUAUUUGUUGAACAUAAUCGAGAACAUAUCUAACUCGCUUAUUUUUACAUCGGAGUUAACUUAAAACUUGAUUGACAAAAUAUUUACAAAGCACUAUGCUUCUUCUUCCCUCUUUUUUUUUUGUGCAAAUCAUAUUCACUAUAAUUAAACCAGAGUUAUAAGAAACAAAGCUUGUACGACAAAACUGUCAAUUAAAACAUUAACAUUCUGAGAAUAACCUAAACUUGGUAGACUUAAAUGAUAGAGAUAGAAGGUAUAUAUCUGCUAGCACCUAGAGAAAAUCCAUCCCACAGGUGAGGGCGAAGGUUAUGGCCGAGCGAAAAGCCAAGGCUUCCGCCAUAAGGGGCGACAAUGCGAAAGUUGAAGUUGCUGCAUACUGUGAACAUGAUAUCAGAUCAUCAAUAAUCUAACUAAAACUAUUUUACUUUUUUUUUUGAAACACUAUUAAAACUAUUUUACAAACAAUACUAUUUUGACACAUUUUCUUGUUCACAAUGUCACUUUGAACUUCCAAUUUAAUUUAUAUAUGUUUUAAGAUUAACAUUAAUUGCAAAAUACUUAAACUUAUAAAUAAUUUUAUUUAUCUAGAAGUAUUAGUUAAACUAAUAUAAUUAUUAGAGACAUAAAUGGACUUCGAUCAUUUUUCUAAUUUAUGUAAAAAGUUCAAAAAAACAUUCUUUGUAAAACAAAGGGAGUAUAAGAUUUUGCAUUUGGACUGUUGCCAUAAUUUACUGUUAGGCAGUUUUGCAAAGCCUUCGAUCAUGAAAAGCAACUCCAAGUAAAAAAGAAUGAUCCAACUUGUAAACAUCUCCUGGGGAUUAACUUCAAAAGUUUUGGUUUGACACAUUCUUUCCCCUAAUGCACAAAGACAUUAAUGUCUAGGAUGGUCUAAAGUACAUACAUAUGGGUGGAUUGAUUCUUAAGAUGGAAAGAACCGCAGACGGUAUUGUCCAUAUUCCAUCACCACAUAUCAGUCCUGAAGCUACUGCACCCGAGUAAUCAUCUGCGUCUUUCUUAUCCAUCCGUUCCCAUAUGAACAAAACCACGGUCCCAACGAACAUGUCGAUGGCAAAGUACGCUCCUAUAUAGAAUGGAGCAGCCAUAGCCAUAGGAAGUGGUGUAAACUUAGAGAUCUUAGGCGGUGUGAUGUCUCUGACAAGAUUCACAACGAGAGCAGCGAGAAAGAAUCCGCAACAAAGAGCCAAACAGUGUUUAGGCAGUUUCGCAAACCCUUCUAUCCCAAGAAUAGCCAUUUCUCGGUAGAUAACAGCGUAAGGCGCUUUGUAAAGACCAUCGGGAUCUCCGACCUCAAAAGCAGUCCAAAACAUCCAAAACGUGAGAGGAGCGAUCACGCAACCCAUUGCUGUACCCAACAGCUGAGUUACAAACAUGGAUUUCGCAGAUGAUAACGUGAGGUAACCUGUUUUGAAGUCUUGCAUGAGAUCUGCUGCGGUUGAGACGAUUGCCAUCAUAACACCACAUGCUGAUAAACCGGCAAUGACUCCACCACCACCACCACCACUAUUGUUUUCUACAAUCGAAGCUAUGGUGAAAAGACCAAUCUUUCCGUAGGUCGAAGGCAGGCUCAUAUCCGUGAGCCCUGCUCCAUAAGAGUUGCAAAAGGCUAGACCCGGUGCAACCAAGUAUGAAGAGAGGACAAAGUACCAUUUCAAUGGUGGGAAUAUUAACGGGAUGGUUGCGGUCGAAAUGGCUGCUAGACACACAUAACCAGAAACCGCGAAACCGAGGGGUAUAUGGUCCUUGAGAAACACUUCAUCUCUUUUCUUCUUCUCCAGCAGUGAUUCCAAGCGCUCACCACUCUCAUCUGAAUCAAGAAACUCUUAAGAAAUAUGUUUGAGAAAGACUAUUACUUAAAAAUUGCGAUAGAUAAGUCAGAAUCAUAUGUCCUUCACACCUAAAACGUCAGUAAAGACAGGUAGAUAUUGUUGUUUGUUGAAGAGUUCCUUCAUAGUGAGAAUAGUGAUCUUGAUGAGGUUGUAGAGACCGUCACCAAGGAUGAUAGCAAUGGGGAUAAAGACCUAUAAAUGUGGUAAUGACAUGAAAAAAAGCAUGGUUCAAGAAAGUACAUAUGAAAAAACUUAUUAUCGUUACCUUAUAUCCGUAGAGACCUUUGAAAUCGUUGGUCUCAAGGUCAGAUGGAUACCAGUCUCCAGCAUGUUGUGAUAUGAACGGCCAGAGGAAACCCCAAGAAAUGAUAGCGCCCAGAAGAACAGAGCAGUUCACUAAAUGGGGACAUAUCAGACCACAUCCAAUAAAAGUAGGACUAAAAUCAAAGUAAAACCUGCAAAGUCAUGAUAACUUGUUACAACACAUGAUAAUCUUGUGUAGUGUUAACAGAGAAACUUACGUGUUCUUGAAUAGGGUCAAACCAAGUGUGGGAAAGUUAUCAAACCCACAUGCAUCUCCAAUACCACUAAAGAACCACUUGAAGCAACUCCAAACAAAGCUAAGGCUGAGAUACUUCCCAAGACAUUUAACUUGGUUUCUGAAGUAAUUAAACAAUAAUAUUAGAGAUAAACAUUAGAGCAAAAAAAAAACAGGUAGUGAGAUUAAAGAUGAUAUCUCUGAAAAUUACCCUGCAAGCUCGGCUCCAGAGUUGUCAUGAAAACUGUUAAUCAGCAUUGCUGUAGCGGUUCCACUGGGAUACGUAAGCUUGUAGUCCAAAAUCAUCACCUGAGAUAACACUUUUGAAUAAGUAUCAAGAAACCACAAACAUCUAAGAAAUCUUUUCUCUUAAUUAGUGAGAUGAUACCUUGCGAAGUGGAACGAGACUGAAGAGACCGAGGAAGCUGACAGCAAAUAAGAAUACAAUCAUCCACCACAAUCCAGGAUUUAUAACAUCUUCAGGAUUGUUUCCCGGACGAUCAGCACCAAUGAGCUUGUAUGUCCUCUCAUCCAUAGCUAUCAAAUACGAACCAAAUCCUCCUGAACACAGUUAAAGAGUUAGAAACUCUAUCAGAGGACCAUUCCAUAUAAUCCUUAUGUAGUAGCAAUCAGUAAACAGUCACAUAGACAUAAAACUUGGAAGCUUAUUACAAAAUCACACAAAAAUAAUCAAAAGUUAUCCACAAGAUCAACAUUUAAAUAGCUCAGGACAUAUCUUAGAACAGCUUAGGUGUGAAAGGAGAUGUCAAUCUCAAUUUACCGCUAUAGGCGAGGCCGUAGCAAGCGACAACGCAAGUCUGAAUAACGGUGUUCUCUUGCUUGGUAAAGGGUUUAACUGAAAACCCUAGUUUCGACAAGAAACCAGUCCAUGACUUGACGAAGAAGAAACCGAGGAGACCAGCAGCUACAUUUAGCGAAGGAAUGAUUCCGACAGUGAGGUUAAGCUUAUGGGUAAUGAUGCAGAACAAGAUCCCUAACAAGGCGCUAGCGAUCAAGCCUCGGGUCGUGAUCUGAUCCUUCCAAUGAGGUAUAACAUCUUCGUCAUGAUUCGUUGCAGGGAACAACAAUGUCUCUGAGAUCUCCAUUGACCUUAGAAUCUCUGUCUCCAUUACUUCCUUUCCCCUCGAAACUUAGCAGCUUUAAGUUGAGAAUCUCCGUUGACCAAGAUUAGUCCAUGUGAGCUGUCAACGAGGAUAGGAUAGUGAUUACAGAAGCACGACACGACUACUAAACAAACGAACAUGGCCUAUAUGGUAGUCAAUUUGCGAAGACUGAUGUACUUUUAGUUAUCAAUAAAAUGGUGAAUUAAUCUUUUUUUCUUUAAUUAAGUAUUAGUAACAGUUUUGUCAUAUCUAUUUUUAAUGACCAGAAAUAAAGGUCUGAGAACAUGAAAGCAAAACAGAACAUAGCUUUAAAGAGCAGAGCAACGAUUUAAAAUCAAAACCUAAAGCAAAUGGAGUUAACCUGAUGGUCGCACCACAGGCAACUCAGGCUAAACGGUGGAGAACCAAUCUCAGAUGAUCAUGGAAAGUACUCUUCUGAGUUAGGUGAAUUAACUAUGGUCUUUCACUAAUUCAUUCUAAAGCAUGUAACUGUUUUCAAAGUUGUUAUACAAUGCAAAUUCUCUCUCUCUCUCUCUCGUUUGAAAAUGAUUAUUAGAAGUAAAAAAAAACGUUUCUGAUCAUUAGACUCUUGCGUGUGUGUGGAAGUUACUGCCUCGGUGGAGGAGGCAACUGAGAUUUAGCAAAACUGAUCCAUGUAGCAAUUCCAGCGGCUAAGAUGACCCAUCCCAUUACAUCAUACUUGAGAUCACUGCUCUUCUUUUUCUUCACAUUCUGCGAUAGAAAAAAAAACACACAAACGUUAAUUAGAUUUCACUUCAUCAAAACCCCCAAUUCGCAUUUUUGGAGUAAAAAGAAAGGACCUCUGAAGUCGAGGCAGAGGCUGAUGGUCCAGCGACACCGCCUAAAGCUUGUGGGCCUAAACCAUGGCUAUGAGCAGCUUUAUGCAGCUCUGGAGCCUGCAACAAGCGCGUUGGUCAAAAGAACAAAAACCAAAUCUUCACAUCAACUAUUGAGAGUCCAAACCACUAGCAAAAACUCCUAUUACUAGAGGAACAUCAACACCAUCUACUUAUCAUUGUACCUUAGAAGUCAGCUCCAAAGAUUUGCGGUAGAGUUCGUUUUCAGGUUGCUGCAAACAAUAAAAGAAAAUUCUCACGUUACAGCACAAGAAAGAUGAUGAUAUUGUAAUAGUAUUACCUCGUCAAGAGCUUGUUGAAAGUAGUGAGAAGCUUUCUGAAAGUGAUCGGCAGCGACGAUUUCAUCAGGAAUCAUAAAGCCAUAUGAAGUGUGGACAUUCCCAAUGCACCAAAGCGCAGCGUGCUUCUUCGGAUCGAUUGACAAGGCCUCUUCCAGCUUCGAUAUGGCAUCUACACAAACCAAAAUUAAUUUAUCAUUCAUUCUAAAAAAAAGAAGCUAAUAAUAAUUAAUCUGAAUCUCCACCUAGAAGCAUUUGCUUUGAGGCUGUGGGGUUCUGAAACUGGGAGAGUUCUAAUAAAGCUCCUCCCCAUCUCAACAAGUUCUGCAGAAAUUCAUUAAAAAAAAAAGGUGGAGACUUUAUCAAUUUUCUUUAGAGCCAAUCAAAAACGAAUCUUAAAGAUUAGGGAGAAUACGAACAUCGGCAUCUAGAGGGUUUUUGAUGUAAGUAGCUUCUGCUGCUUUCCGAGCAUGUUCGAAGAACAUCAAUCUCUCGAUUUCUCCCUGCAUAUCCAUUCUUUUCUCUCGAGCUUCCACAGAACAACCAAGGUUACAAAAUUGCCAGAGGAUCGUUUUCUUUAGGGUUUUUUUAAUGGGGAAUUAAUUAAUGAGAAUUUAGUCCCUACAGAAAACCAAUAUUAGUUUAAAUGCGUUUUCUUUAGAGUAUUUGCAUUUCAUAUACAAAGAUUAUUGUGUAUUUGGAUAACUACCUGUAACUAUUAUUUAUGGAUUGACUGUCUAUCCCCAUCCCAAGACACAUUAACCCUACUUAUUUUCCUCCCGCCUAACUAUCAACCUUUUCGUAAAUCCACCUCAUCAUAUACUUUCUCUUUAAAUCUCCCCUCUUCAUAAAUUUUUUUUUUGAAGCUAGAAUACCUCCUGCUUGUUAUAGACGACCUUAACUUCCUAUGACUUCAUUCUAAUCACCUAUAAAUAGAUCCUCAUGCCGUAGUUCUUUCCUUACAUCAAAAACCUAACCAUAGGCAUUCCAAGUGCACCAGAGCCUUAAAGUAAACCUUCUAGUCUUUAGCUUUCCUUUUAUAUUUAGUUUCUAGUUCUUUAUUUAGAUUUAUGAUUAGAUCCUGAUUUUGACUUACAUAAAAUCAAAAAUCUGUUUGUUUUAUGAUUAUGAUCUAGAUGGGGCUUGUUCUCUGGCAGACAACAUUGGCCAAAAUGAUCACCUUGGUGCGUAAUACACAAUGGUGAUUAAUUGAUUGUUUUCAUUAGAACUUGUGUCUUCGUUUGUGGUUGUUAAUUACAGAAAACAAUUAUUUAUGGAAAGAAGAACACCUCAGCGAUCAUAAAGAUAACAGCGUGUGAAGGGUGGAUGUUUUGGAAGUGGAAAGUCUGAAAGCUCAAAUUACUUGAAUGUUUUUUCCACUCUGUGUGCAUGAUGGAUUAAUUGAUUGGAUGAUGAUUGAUGCAUAUUGGGAGAUAAUUUAAUUGUUAGAGAAUUUCGACUCACCCAGCAAAUUAGUUGCUAAUUAGUUUUGCGGGAAACUAUAGGAGUAUCUUAGGUUACGAAGGAGCAGUAAUGCUAGCGUUGUUUUUAUGCGUUUUACAAAUAAGUAUGCAUUGUAUAAGUAUUAAGUUUAAAAGUAGUGCCUUAUAUAUGAUUGAUGUUGUUUGAACCUAAUAAGUAUUAUAUGAAUAAUAAAAGUUUAUGAAAUGCUUGGGUAUCAUCACGAAUAUUCAUCAGAUCUCCUCUACUUUCUCUUCUAUUGUCUUCAUCCACAUCUCUCGUGAUCAAAACCGAAAGUCAGACCGGCUGGCUAAAAGAGCCUUGGCCCAGCUACGCUCUAUCUCUUUUCCGAAUUUCAUGCAAUCCCUAAAUGGACCAAACUAUUUUUGGGCCUUCCUCCUAUCUUAAUGAAAACUAGAUCUUGACCCGCACAUCUGUGUGGGUUUUUUCUAUACUAAAAUAUUUUAGUUUAUAUAACAAAAUUUACCAAUAAUUUAAUGUAAUUUAGUAUUAUAUAAUAUAUAACUCUAUAAUACCGAUGUUUAUGUGGAUUAUAUAUUAUGACGAUGAAUUUUUUGUAUUUUUGUACCAAAUAUUAUUUUGAAAAAAAUUAUUAGGUAAAAAUACUACUUUACAUAUUUUUAUUCCUAAAUUUCAUUUUUAUAUGGAUAAAAAUAAUUUGGACCUAUCUAUAUAGUAGAGAAGAUAACUUUUGCGAUAAUGUUAAAAACAACAAUAGAUAUUUUUAAGAAGUAAACUAUAAUACAACGUACUUCAAAAUAAAGUAAAGAUCAUAUUUGAGAAAAUACUUGAAAUACAAUAAGUUGGAUAAAAACAUUUCUUUUAAUUUGAAAUAGAAAUGAAUCUUUCUAACAAAAUAUUUUUGAAAUCUUUGUAAAAUGUUUUUUUUUAAAUUAAUCAGUUUAAAUUGUUAUUAUCAUUAAAAUAUAAAUAAAAUCCUUCAUAUACUUUUAAAUUGUCGAAUAAUUAUAUAUUGAUGGAAUAAUAUAUUUUCGAAAUUAAUAAAAUCUAAUAAUAUUUUGAUUGAAUAAAAAGAGAAUUAAAUAUGUUGUUGGGAUUUUAUUAUGAACAUACAAAAAAGUUAUGUAAAAAACUUUCUAGGAAAUAGUCCAUUUAAAAAUAUCACACAUGAAAAUAUCACACAUGAAAUAAGUCAUGAUUUCUACUUUAAUAGUAUAGAUGUUUGGUGCACAAAAAAGUGAAAUGUUUGGGUUCCAUGUAUUAUUAGUCUAGUCUAGGAUGAACCAACAAAUGGUUUCAAAUUUGGAUUACAAAACCUUAACUUGGAACCGGUAGGAAACCCAUUUUUAGAUAUUUGACCUUGGGAUUUUUGAGUUGAUGUAGGAUAUUUGGAUCAAAUGUUUCGGUCCGUGGUAGUAACAUUUUUGAUCGGGUUAAAAGAAAUUUGUUGGUCGUAUAUGUUCUUAUUUGUAACAAUUUUGAUCGGGUUAAAAGAAAUUUGUUGGUCGUAUAUGUUCUUAUUUGAUUAUUAAACGGAAAACUAAUCAUAUUAGUUGAAGGCUCCUACAUCAGAUACAAAUAUUCUUCUCAUAGUCAAGCUCAUCUUUCAAAUAGUUAUAUACAUGGUCUGGAGAGAAAGAAAUUCUAGAUUGCAUACGAACUUAUGCAGACCUCUUCAGGCAAUUAUUCAGGAAAUCAAGCAAACUCUAAGGCUAAGGCUUGACCCACUGUCUCGGGACAUGAGGACCACCAAUAGCUUUUCUCUUACUUUUUUGGGAUCUUGGUUAAUUUUUUUAGGGCAUUGUUAAGUCUCUGGUAUAGUCUCCCCCUCUGGUUUACAAGGCAGGUGAUCUAUGCUUGUAAUCAGUUCCAUUAAUUUUGAAUAAAGAGUAGUUUUAACAAAAAAAAAAAAAAAUUCUAAUAGGGGUGUUACAGUCAUAUCACAUCCCCAAGGUCGAGGAAUUGCAUAACAAACUCGAAGAGUGUACGUACCAUAGGCGGUGAGUCGAUGCCGUGUUCAAUACUACCAUCUUAUUAAAAAUAAAAUAAUGUUGUCGCCAAUAUAUUUGUCUAACUUCAUACUCCAAGAAAAUAUGCAAAUCUCAGUAUGCAAUUAUUUAAUACUGGAAAAUGCAAAUUUAUCACGAGAAGACUUGUGCAGCUGGAGAUCUAUAUUGUUUCAUUUCUAAUAUAUAACAUUGAUCAAACCCAUAGAAUCAUUAUUUCAAAAUAGCAUUUGUUCGUAUAGACUUUGAAUAUCAUUUUUAGAUAUAUAAGAAUCGCAAGUUACAAGUGAUUGUCAAAGAGAAAUCGACAUCUAGAAAGAAAUAAACAACUCAUAAGGCCAAAAUAACAAGCUGGAGAAUUUUAUUUUGGAAUGUCGGUGUAAUUUCGAAAACAUUACAACACUCAAAUCAACAUCUUUAAACUCUCAAAGAUAAGAUUCAUCCUUUUUCAUAACGUUGGGGUCUUCUGGACUGGUCUUGUUCAGUUACAACCAAUGAUCAACCAAGACAUUGUGUGUGUGUGUGUUUUUCUUAUAUAAAGCAUUAAAGCUUCUAUAUAUUUUCAAGUUAUAAUUGGUUCAUGUUAUCAUCAUCUCGAUUCGUAGGAUAAAAAGCAAAAAUCAAAAACUCACAUGAACCAUGACGAGGUACGUGUCCCACAAAUGAGACCAGCCAGUUGAAAUAGAUCUGACAUCCGCUAACACUGUGAUCACUUGUGGCCCCAAUGAAAACAAGAUCGUUGUCAAAAGGACUCUACAAGUGGACACAUGGUCUCCACAGUUGCCACGUGUAUGUUCAUCUGUAUGUCCCCAAUCUGCGGCGAAAUUGACGUUAAAGAAAAUACAUCAUAGAAUCCUUUUUCUUUGUUUGNNNNNNNNNNNNNNNNNNNNNNNNNNNNNNNNNNNNNNNNNNNNNNNNNNNNNNNNNNNNNNNNNNNNNNNNNNNNNNNNNNNNNNNNNNNNNNNNNNNNNNNNNNNNNNNNNNNNNNNNNNNNNNNNNNNNNNNNNNNNNNNNNNNNNNNNNNNNNNNNNNNNNNNNNNNNNNNNNNNNNNNNNNNNNNNNNNNNNNNNNNNNNNNNNNNNNNNNNNNNNNNNNNNNNNNNNNNNNNNNNNNNNNNNNNNNNNNNNNNNNNNNNNNNNNNNNNNNNNNNNNNNNNNNNNNNNNNNNNNNNNNNNNNNNNNNNNNNNNNNNNNNNNNNNNNNNNNNNNNNNNNNNNNNNNNNNNNNNNNNNNNNNNNNNNNNNNNNNNNNNNNNNNNNNNNNNNNNNNNNNNNNNNNNNNNNNNNNNNNNNNNNNNNNNNNNNNNNNNNNNNNNNNNNNNNNNNNNNNNNNNNNNNNNNNNNNNNNNNNNNNNNNNNNNNNNNNNNNNNNNNNNNNNNNNNNNNNNNNNNNNNNNNNNNNNNNNNNNNNNNNNNNNNNNNNNNNNNNNNNNNNNNNNNNNNNNNNNNNNNNNNNNNNNNNNNNNNNNNNNNNNNNNNNNNNNNNNNNNNNNNNNNNNNNNNNNNNNNNNNNNNNNNNNNNNNNNNNNNNNNNNNNNNNNNNNNNNNNNNNNNNNNNNNNNNNNNNNNNNNNNNNNNNNNNNNNNNNNNNNNNNNNNNNNNNNNNNNNNNNNNNNNNNNNNNNNNNNNNNNNNNNNNNNNNNNNNNNNNNNNNNNNNNNNNNNNNNNNNNNNNNNNNNNNNNNNNNNNNNNNNNNNNNNNNNNNNNNNNNNNNNNNNNNNNNNNNNNNNNNNNNNNNNNNNNNNNNNNNNNNNNNNNNNNNNNNNNNNNNNNNNNNNNNNNNNNNNNNNNNNNNNNNNNNNNNNNNNNNNNNNNNNNNNNNNNNNNNNNNNNNNNNNNNNNNNNNNNNNNNNNNNNNNNNNNNNNNNNNNNNNNNNNNNNNNNNNNNNNNNNNNNNNNNNNNNNNNNNNNNNNNNNNNNNNNNNNNNNNNNNNNNNNNNNNNNNNNNNNNNNNNNNNNNNNNNNNNNNNNNNNNNNNNNNNNNNNNNNNNNNNNNNNNNNNNNNNNNNNNNNNNNNNNNNNNNNNNNNNNNNNNNNNNNNNNNNNNNNNNNNNNNNNNNNNNNNNNNNNNNNNNNNNNNNNNNNNNNNNNNNNNNNNNNNNNNNNAAAGAGUGUUUACAAGAAGAAUUAAUAUACAAAUUUGGGCUUUUCUUAAUUGAUAAACUUACCAUCAGAAAGACAGAAACCGUAAAUGUUAAAAAUAGUUUUGGCACAUGGAAAGAAGUCAAUACAUGUCAAUGCCUAAUUGGUAGCAGUCCUUAGAGCAUCUACAUUGGUGAACCCCCCUUUGGGGUUCAUACCAAUUUUUUAAUAUAUUUAUGGUGGGACCAUGAAUAGUGAUGAACUUCUUGAUUUUGUACUUCUCCAUUAGUGAACCCGAAGAAGGGGUUCAUAGGAACUAAAAUAAUAGUUUUUUUAAAAAAAUUUAGUUUUGAUUUUUUUUUUAAUACAUGAAUAAAAUAUAAUAAUUUAUAAAAUUUUAUUCAUUACAUUGAUAAUUGAUGAACAUAGAAAGAUUAUUCAUUACCGAAUUUUUGCCAUACAUUUUCAACUAAAUCAGCUUUCAACCUAUCAUGUUUUCCUGAAUCCCGAAGUUCAUUGCGCAUGCCUAGCAUAUUAUGUGCAUGCAAACUUUCUCUCGUUUUGACCUUCGAACCUCUGCUUGACUCUCCUGACUCGAACUCAGAUGUAUCAGUAAGACUGUAUCCGUCUCGUUCGUCCUCCACUAUCAUAUUGUGCAAUAUGACACAAGUUCUCAUAAUUUUCCCUAUCUUUUCCUUGUCCCAUAGUAGAGCAGGGUUUUUAACUAUUGCAAACCUCGAUUGCAAAACCCCGAAAGCACGUUCGACAUCUUUUCUGGUGGAUUCUUGACGUUGGGCAAAUAGCUCAGCUUUAGGACCUUGAGGAAGUGGGAUGGAUUGGAUAAAUGUUGACCAAUUCGGAUAAAUUCCGUCAGUAAGGUAGUACGCCAUACGGUAAGUGUGGUUGUUGACCUUGAAUUUAACUUUAGGGGCUCGACCUUGCAGUAUAUCAUCAAAAACUGGUGACCGAUCAAGAACAUUGAUAUCGUUGAGGGUACCUGGUAAUCCGAAAAAUGCGUGCCAUAUCCAAAGAUCUUCUGAUGCCACAGCCUCUAAGACAAUUGUUGGUUUUCCUGAACCACGGGUGUAUUGGCCUCUCCAAGCCGUUGGACAGUUCUUCCACUGCCAAUGCAUACAAUCAAUGCUGCCUAUCAUCCCGGGAAACCCGCGCUUCUCGCCAAUGUCGAGUAAUCGUUGAAGAUCUUCCGGUGUUGGUGUUCUUAGAUACUCAACUCCAAACAAUUGUACUAUCCCAUUAGUGAAAUGUUCUAAACAUAAAAGUGCAGUACUUUCACCAAGUCGAAGAUAUUCGUCAUACGUAUCUCCAGAUUGACCAUAUGCGAGCAUACGUAUAGCUGCAGUACAUUUUUGAAGUGGUGAUAGGCCGUACCUGCCGUGAGCAUUUCUUCUUUGCUGAAAGUAUGGAACUUCAGUAGUAAGGCGAUCAACAAUGCGGAGGAACAAGGGUUUGUUCAUUCGAAAACGCCGCCUAAACAUCACCGGCGGGUAAGUGGGAUUUUCGUGGAAAUAGUCGUUCCAUAGUUGAAUGUGUCCUUGUUCCCGAUCUCUUUCAAUAUAAGCUCUUUUUUUGGGCUUGUUGGUUUGAACAUCUAGUAGGGAGUCGAUGAUAUUAUCAAAUUCUUCGUCAAACAUAUCUUCAAAGGCUUCAUCAACGCCAUCUGACUCUGAGGAUGUCAUAACUGAAAAAAACAAAUAUUUUAAAUAUCUCUACGAAUAUCAUAUUUUCGUUUUUAAUUAUAACAUUAAUUAAAAAAAAAAAAAUAAAUCUUGGAAUGUCAUAUUUUCGUUUUUAAUUAUAACUUAUAUGUGGAACCUUAAUUUUUUUUUUUUCAAUAAAUCUUGGAAUUUCAUUUUUUCGUUUUUAAUUAUAACUUAUAUGUGGAACAUUAAUUACAGACUAUAGAUAACAAAACAAAGAAUUUUAGAUUUUACUUGGUCACUCGAUUUUGUAGUCGGCGAGUGUCUAGUGGUUGGCUGGUUCGACAGAACAAGAGUGAGGCAGCUGGUUUGAGAGAACAAGAGUAAGGCGGAUGGUUUGAGAGAACAAGAUGGAGGGGUAUCGACCUUGAGAGAACUAUGAUUUGUAGAUACAGAGAAGAGAACUAUGCUUUGGCAUUUGAGAGAAGAGAACAUAAACACAUGUUAGAGAGAAGAGAACAUAUAUGAGAGACAUGAAAUACUUGUCCUUUUUAUAACAAACUUUUACAAGUCCCGUGAAGUGUAGAGACAAACAAAAUACUACACUUCAUAUUACAAUCCGUGACACCAAGUUCAUCACUAGUGUCUAGUACAAACACUGACCUGCUGCGACCCAAAAGAUACAUGUAGUACUACAACUACAUGAACAACCCGUGAACUACUACUACUACAAUACCCGUGACACCUACAAAACCCAUCAAGUCCAGACUUUAUCUCCCAUAUGCCCGUGACCAACGGCCCCACAGAUCCUUUCACCUGCAAAAUAACACAGAAGAAUAUAAGUUUCAAGUCAACAAAAGCAGUUGUAAAAUUAUCAAAGCAAGUAAAGAAGCAAACAAAGAGUUCAAGAAAUUUUCAACUAAACAACCUAAAGCAUCUCAGAAACAAGUUUGUCCUUCAAAGCGACCUCAGCUUCAGUUAGAGUAGCUAUGUUCUUAGAGAGGAGACGAUCAAGUAUUUUCUGUUUCGAAAUAUUCUGUUUCUUCUCUAGAAUGAUCUCCAGGCGAUCAAAUGCAGCUUCAUUGCCAGGCUUCUUGCGUUUGGCUGCUUUGCAAGCCUUAACGCCAGGAGGCCUAGCCUCAUCCGAGUCAGGCACCGUCUCCGCAGCUUCCUUCAUUUUCGCCUUUCCACCAUCUCUUGAUAUAGAGUUCGAUCUCCACUUCUGAUCAUACCUCAGCUCCCUCCACGCGUGUUCAAGUGCAAACUUCGCCUGGUGGUCGUUAAAGAAGAUGUCAUGAGCUGACUUCAUGACAUCGUUCUCGUUCUGCCCACUUGAUUGCUCCUUCAAUGCUGCCUCAUAGCUUCCCACAAAUUUACACACUUGUUCAUUCACCCUUCCCCACCUCUGCUUACACUGACUCCACUCUCUAGGUAGAAAGCCACCUAGCUGAGCGCUUGCAUUAAAGUAAUCCUCUAUUCUUCUCCAAAACGACCCUAGUUUCUGCUGGUUACUAACUAUGGGAUCUUUGCUUGUGUUUAACCAGGCACUGAUGAGGAUAAUGUCUUCUUGAGUCGUCCACUUUCUCCUUUCACCAGCCGGUUUAGGAACCUCAGACGACCCUACUUCUACGGUUUUACUGGACUGGGAAGAUAAUAGGUUCACAAAACCGGGAGAACUUUGUGAAAACGUAUCCAUUUUGGUUUGGGGUUGUGUUUUGUUGUUUGUUAGAAGUUUUAAAAAGGAUUAUGUAUUUUUUAAAGAACUACUUGCGUUUGAGUUACGGGUGGUUUCCUAACUACCAAACAUUCAUUACACUUAAUUAGACAACAACUUGUUCACAGACAUUCAUUACACAUCAAAUCAAUUCUAAAAAACUCUAAAACGUUUAAGACACAGCAAUUUAAGCGCAUUCAUCACAGCAACCAACCAGAGGAACCAAACUAGUACUAGAUAUUUAAUGAAGUACUACUACACUCCCUACUCUAGAUAUUUAAUGAACAAGUUAACUCUCAGUUCAACCAGAGGAAGCAAGUAACCACACGGAAACAGUUCCUACUCGAGUUCCUAGUUAAGUCUCAGUUUCUACUCUACACGGAAACAGUUCCUACUCAAGUUCCUAAUGUAUUAUAGACAGUUCCUACUCAAGUUCCUAGUUAAGUCUCAGUUUCUACUCUACACGGAAACAGUUCCUACUCAAGUUCCACACGGAAACAGUUCCUACUCGAGUUGAAAGUUUACCUGUUCUGUUUCAGUCGAAACAGGCCUUCUCCAGAGCAGCCGCCUGGACUGUGAGGUUAUAGACGUCACCAGUGAGCUUAUCAAGCAGCAAUGUGAGCCUCUUAACCUGUGCCUACAUAAGAGAUAAAGAAAACUUGUAACUCACUUAUAAAAACGUAAAAAGUGUUCACAAAUUUGAUGAUCUCAAAUUUGAUGAUCACCCAAAGAGAUAAAAAGUGUUCACAAACCUCAAGACUGUCGAUCUGUUUAGUGAGAAUGGGCACACAUUUGAUGAUCUCAACAGCCUCAUCCACACGCUCACGCAUGCGUACCAUCUCCUCCUGGACACCUAUAACCCAAGGCUGACGGUAAUGCAACCCAUCAGCCUUGGUUAAACCACGGAAACAUCAGUCAGACAACAUAUUUAACUAGAAAAUUUAGACAACAUAAUAAGACAUGUGAGAUUAAUGAAGGGAAUGCGAAUGAUGUGGGUUACCUCGUAGUUUAUGCAGCUGAAGAAGCGCUUCCCGGGACGCGUGUCGUACUCCUCCUUCACCCGAACCUCGUCGAUGAUUCUACCACCACACGGACAGCUUGUCGGCAUCCCAUAUGACGAAUCGGCAACGUUGUACAGGUGGUCGAUGAACUCCUGCUUCCUCUUAAAAUCUGUUAUCUCGUCUGAGGGAUCCAUCUGAAACAGAGAAAUGAAAUUGAUUAACCCUUUUCUAUUGAAUCAAAAAUAAUCAAAACCGUGAAUCGAUUGAGACAAAAGUAGUCAAAACCGUGAAUCGAACCCAGUACAAGAUCUAAACCCACUUAUCGAAACCCCCAAAUUCUAUUUUGAACCCUAACUCGAAAAACCCUUUUCGAUUUCCAAUCCGCGAGAAUCGAACCUUAAAACUAUAAAUCGAACCCGUAGACGAGGUAAUACAGCAUUAAAUCAAAACCCUUCUCGAUUUCGAACCCUAAAUCGUAAAAAAAAAAAAUUGAAAUUUCCCCUAACUCGAUUUCGAAACCAAAACGACAUCAAUAUAAAGGAGAUUCCAGUCGAGACCCACCUCUGUUAGUAGAGGAGACAAUAACUCGUCGAAUCGAUGGAGCAAAUUCGAGAAAUAGGGACAGAGAUCGUCGUCGCACGGGGUUUCGCCGGGAGGAAGAAACCCUAGAGUUUUCGAGACAAAAGAGAGAAAUGAAUCUCUCUCCCCUUUCCACCGCGUGACGUCGACGCCGCGUCUCCAAUCAAUUCGCGACACGUGGUGUGAACCCGUAUCGGACGGGGUCACUCGUAAGGGGCGGGUCGCGAGAAAUAACCCAUUUAAUCUUUAUUUUUAAUGGUCCGGCCCUAUGAUACUGAGCCCAUGAACCUGUCUAAAACCUCUAAUGGGGCUGCUCUAAGAGUCGUGUUUACAAACUUAUUUAGUGUUACUUGCAAGUCAUGGCCAGCAUUCGCUCAUAUGUUUGUAAAAAGUAUCUUAAUCGACUAGCAUUAUGAUAAGAUUUGACCUGUAAAAACUAUAUUCAAUUAGAUAUACUAACGAUGCUGUUCCAAUGGAGCUGCGACAUAACAUAUAUAUUGUUACAAGAUUUAUUAUGUCAACUGUAACUUGACACCUCAUUACACGAACCAUUGUCCUUUUCUUUUGUGUCGUUGGACUUGGAUCUCUCGCUUUUCACAUGUUUUGGAAUAUUUGUUUCGUGCCUACCAAAGCGGUGUUUAUGAAGAUCUUUUAGUUUUUUUCCAGGAAAAAAAAAGCUAAAAACAAGAGAAAAUCCAAUAGCAAGAUCAACGAAUCUGAUCCUCAAGGCUUACAGUUACAUGAUGCACUAAUAAAGAGAUGAGAGAUAAAAGUGCAUUACAGCAACGCAAGGGUAUGGACCAACAAUAGUAUUUCAACUGACACUUAAUUUUUUCAUCUGUGCUUACGAUAACUUGUUAGAUAAGUGAUCUAACCGAGCCAUCCCUUACGGCUUUGCAUGCACUAGGCAAAGAAAUUAGAAUUUGCAAAAAAAAAACAAUCGUUUUCCAAAAACAUUACAAUAGAAAUAUGAACUAACGAAGCGUUAUAAACUUAUUUCUAAAGAUCUUUCAGUUUUAAUAACACACACAAAAAGGAGAAACGGAUAUAUAUAAUUUACACAUCGACAAAUAAAAAAUCUUUUAAAGCCAAUCCCUUACGGAUUAAGUAGAAGUACACAAAUGUUAAACGGACUCAGUGACCAGUUUCCAACUGUUGUUUGGUUCACCACCUGACACAACACUACUCUUUUCUAAGCUUCUUGUUGGAUCGCACGUCUGAGCCUUAGUCCAGUAUCCGCAUCUCCCUCACGUCCUAUCAAAACCCCACCAUCUCCUCCAGCAUCCUCACUGCUCUGGUUUAGGUUUUGGUUAGCCAAGGCAGCUUCCCCAAAGUUAUGGAGCCUCCGACCAAUGAGAUAACGGUCAUCACGGAUGGAGUUGUGAAGGUUUCUGAACCAGACGUGGCAUCUCUUUGCGCAGAAGCAAAAGAGGCUCACCGAGAGACAACCUAUCCAAGCGAAUCUGUAGACCGCCGAGUUCACAACUAGUGGAUAGCCGAGCAUCGGGAACACUCCUCUGGCCAGAACGUAGGGAACGCAUAAUGCCGUUAGAAGCUUCAUUACAAUCGGGAAUACAAUCUCUCUCAGUACCCACAACCCUUGAAGCCUCGAGAAUCCAUCUUCUCUUACUCUCUCAAACUUUGCUCUCCAGCUAUCAUCCAUUAUCGGAAGCAUAUGAUCCAACAUUACCUGUCCAUGGUCGUCCUUCUUUAAGUGACAAGAUAUAUAAUUAUUAUGCGGUAAAAAAAUAGCUAACGGAAAUAAAUACUUACCAGUCUAGUCCAGAUCUUCAAAAAGAUGAGGCCAAGAGCCCAGUCUUGAUACAGAAGGAAGACAGGGCUUUCAUCUACUGGGACUCUCAUUGGGACGAUAACCAAGAGCUCAAACAGAAGUCCGAUUAGUACCGGAAUGAUAAAAACCUGUUCAGUCACCAAUUUUAAAACACAAAAUCAGGAGUCAAAUGAGCUUGGAGCAUCUCAAAAUUCUGAAUAGAAAAUAACAGCACAAAACCACUUACCCAUAUGGCUAAUAGUACCGAGCUCUUGAAGACAAUCCCACACCAUUUCCAUAUUUGGUUAAGCAAGACUGAAGUCCUCCUCGACUUGACAUGCUCGAUAGCAUACCUUCCCCCAGAUAUGGCAGUCCAAAAGGCAUAUGUGCCAAUAACGAAAGCAUACAGAUCUAUAGAUUUAGGAGAAGAUUCUGUUAAAAUUGUGAUUCCUUUUAGAAGAAUGAAGAAGAAGAUCAAAUCUAAACACAAAUUUACCAUUGCAUUUGAUGCCAUGCGUUAUUGGGAGAACUGGGAUGGCACUAAACAGAGCACGUCCGAGUGAAACUGGUACAACUAUCAAUGCUGAAUUGAAGAGAAGAAGAGUAACCCAUGCAUAGAGUAGUAGAAGGAUUAUCCGGAUCACAAAGUUGUACCUGCUAAAAACAUGACGUUCAUUUCAGAAUCUUCUAUAUAUACCAAGCAUGUGAAAAUUCCAAACAUCAAGAAAAACUUUAAUGCCAUUCUAACGCAAGGAACUUACUCUGUAUCAGAUUGUUCUUCAUCAUCUUCAUAUUCCUCACCGGCGUUGACAUUACCAGCACGGAGGAGAUUUCUGUUAGGGUCAUCAGCUGCUGGAAGCGCAGCUAUGGCCCUGUCAGGUCCACCGACCUGUGCUCUGUUCUGCCUUCCUGGUUCACCAAUUCCAUUGUCCUGACCAACGUUGUCCUCUGGUCUUGGUAAGAGGAAGUCUGUCAAACCAAGGGCCCAACCGACGGCUGUGAACCAGCAGCGUAGAAGGGACUUGAUUGUGGUCCGAAGUCUGAAAUGCUCGAUGAUAAAUGGUAUGCAUAUUUGAAACAGAAGCAUGUCGGCCGGAAUCUCAGUGAAUGGGUCGGAUACACUGCAUAUAUCCAAAGUUAGAAAAGUUACUCAAACAUAAGAUCUCCAAAAACGAAGAUAAGCCAAUAUUACUUACGAUAUGUCGAGCGGGAAGAUUGAAGGAGCCAUCCGGAUAGCUAGCUUGACUGGUAAAAAUACCAGCAUGACAAUCAAACUACCGUAGACUGCAACAGAUAACAAAACCCUCCGAGCAUGCUUGUGUACUGGAUCAUCAAUCAAAUCUCGGAAUGGAUUAUAAUUAGGAUCUGCGGGAUCACGAAGGAAAUACAAGACUCCAGGGCGAAGAACCUGCAAUUUAUACAAGAGUAGAAAACAAUAUUAGAUAGCAGAAGAGAUAAACCUCUUUCCAGUUAAAAUUGUGACCAAGGAAAACACAGUACCCCUCGAAGAAGGCUAACGAAGAUGCUUAUUUGCAGCAUGUACAUGAUUCCAACAACCCAAUGAACAAGUGAGCUUGCCAGAGGAGAAAUUGAUAGAAACUGUACUCUGUGAGACAUUGUUUUACCAAACAUCCUAACCGUGCAAACAUCUAGCCACCACCCACACAUCAGCGGGAAGACUCCAAGCUCGAUGACCAAUAGAAAGGCAACUUUAAUCAUAGUCAUCAGAUGCCUCAUUGCUGCCAAGAAUUGUCUAAGGAGUGAUGGUACGGCUUCUACCAUAGAAGCGAUACCAUAGAAUCUCCCAACAGUCAGUGGCUCACCCUUGGCAUAACGAAUCAGUGCAAUGAUCCCGAGGUAAAGGAAAACCAGAAAGACUAUAAACAUGUACCCAACAGUCAGCGUUGUCACAUCAGAUAGCUUGGACGAUCCUGUAACAGAACCUUUUAAGAGAUCAGCAGCAACAGAUAGAGUACUGUUUACCCCGUUCAGUUCACUUCCGUUGACUUUCACCAUUUCUGAGAGCUGACCAACCAGUCCAUUUUCUUGGCCCUCGUUAGUCAAAUUUGAGACAGAAGUCAACGCACUCUUCAGAGUUGUAUUUUCCAAUGCUGAGUCAAUAAAAUGCAUUGAUGCGGUCAGGGCAGGGCCUCUAGCAGCAGCAAAAAGCCACGACAGAUGAUACAAUAUAACCCGUCCUAAUGUGAAGGGCACAAAGAUCACAACCCCAAGGAAUAUCAUAUUGCUUGCCAGAACCUGCAAAAAAAUGAAGAUUUUAAUGUGAGGACAAAAGAGAACGACAAGAGAAAACAAAAUAAAUCCACAGGAGGAGAAACAUUCAAACUUACAGUAAAGGCAUUCUCAACCAAAUGAAACACCGGACCCUGCAUUCCAACCAGCUCGUCAAACGGAACAUCUUCAGCACCAUCAGCGUCAUCCAAACCAUCAAACAUUUGUUCAACCUGAGCCUCGAGACGAGCCGCUUGUAUAUCCAACCUCGCCAGAACAUUUUCAGGAUUCCUUCUAUUGACCUGACCAACACCCGCACCCUGAUCUCCAGCAUCUUCAACAUUCCCCUCUCCAGCAAGGUUCCUAUUACCCUGCCCAGCAGGUCUCCUCGCAGCACGAACACCGUUCCUCUCCCCUUCAUCUUCUCUCUCAUCCUGUCCUCCCAACUCCCGCAAAUGCCUAAAGUAAUCCCUCAACGAAGUCGCCCCGAGGAAAAUGAAGACAAUGCUAGCCGAGAGCAAGAACCCGUGCAAACAGUCGGUGAGAAUCACUGUGGUAGAGAUGUGGCUUAAGAACAGCCUCUGAGCUUCCCCAAAGCUCCUCACAAAAGCCAACCGCCAAAUCCAAAACGUAAUAAAGGGAAUGGUGAGAAGCCACACAGAAAGCACGAAACUCAACCGGAGAAAGAACUGCAACACGUGGCAAGCUUUCAUCGCGAUCCCAACUACAAACUCCUGGAAAGGGAGCCUCGUUGGAGCAUUCUCAGCAUACACUGGUGAGAACGAAAACGGAUGCUUACAAACCUACAAAGAUUAAAAUCAACAACAAGAUUCAAUCAUAUCAAUCAUGAACUUCAAUAAUAAGGAAGCCUUCUGUUAUAUGUAAACAACUAACUUCAAGAUUUAAUCAAUUAUAUUAAUUUCAAUCAAGAACCAUAAGCACCAAUCAAGAACCCUAAAUAAUCAAUUUAUAAACCAAACGGAGACCUCGCAUUGACGAGCGUUGCUAUGAUUAAGCCACUGAAGGAGACAAUCCUGAUGCACGAACUUGAUGCUCCCGCUGCAAGCGCACGGGUACCGAAGCGGAUUAUCCGCUUCCCCCGGGUUUCUGCAGAUCCUGCAAACGUCCUCCUCGUCUUCGUCAUCAUCAACGUAUCUGGAAGCUGUGGCCGUCGCAGACGCGGGAUCCACGGCGGAGAAGGCGGUGGGAGAGGCCUGGCUCGAAGCGGAGAGGGAGGAGGACGAGGGAGAAGAUACCGACGAUUCCGAUGCGACCUCGGAAGAAGCGGCCGCGCCAGAGAUGGAUAGCGAUUCGGAUUCAGCAGAGGAAAUCUCCAUGGAGAAAUCCGAGCUUGGGUUGACGAAGGGCUCUCAGGUGGUUGUGAUGCCGGCGGGUGAUUUGGGGGAAACGAGUCGACUCGGUGAGUCUUAUGGGAAACGACGAAGGCCACCGAGGGAGAUUGAUUGGUUUUAUAUGGAUGGACUAGACCGGGACCUGUAAACCGGUGAUUUGACGGAAUUGCCCUUCCCUCUUGUUUAAUUAUCAACGGUUUUUGUCGGUUACGCGUCUUUGGCAUUUGGGCUUGUGGGCUGAAGAAAUAACAAAAAGCCCAUAGUAGUUGAGGCCCAAACCUGAUCAGCUUGAGUAUACGGUGGAGAGAUUCGACAGAGAGACAAGGAGGAGACAUGGGUUCGCUGUUCACUCCUCUCUAUGCUCUCCCCUCGCGCCAUUUCAGCUAGUGUCUCGUGUUGCUCUUCUGGUAAGCUCGUUUGACUUUAUAAGUAUCUAACUUUGAUGUCAUUGUAGAGAUGCUGAAACGGUCGAUUGUUUGUUCUUGAGCUUGAGCUUUGUGUUUUCAAAUGAAGGGACUUUUUAUUGUUGUGUAACCAGGUUUUAUUUCCAUGUGAUAUUUGAAAGAUCAUGGUAUGUAUCUCUAUACUCUAUUGCUAAAUGGUAUGAAGAUGAACAUAUCUAACGUCAUUUUGAACAAAAUAUAUGAGAUGAAAAGAAAAACUUGUUUACUACUAAAAAAGAGUUUUUUCAAUGUCUUUGAUAACUAAAGAAAAUACUAAUAAUAAAAGAAACAAAUUGAUCAGUCUCUCAUGUGCUUUUCUCCUCUCUCGUCGGGUGGGGUGUGAAGUCUGCGGACGAGUCCUUCUGGAGUUCGUUGCUUUCUAUCAAAUCCUCUCAUGCAUACAAAUCCUGCACAUCACACCAUCAUAUUGUUAUUCAUAUAUUUCAACUUAAUAAUUAAAUAAAACUCAAAACUAGACAACGUUUGUUACCAGUCCAAAAACAUAGUCGAGUUCUUGUUUCCUCUAACAACCGAAAAAUGGAUGACACUGAUGAACCACAAUAUAGCGCACGCUUCUCCAACCCAUUACAUAACUCUCUAGAAAACACAAUAGGUUCUAAACUCGUCUCAUGAUCUGCAAAAACCUGGAAAAAAACACUUUUCAGUUCAGUGAAAACCAAUACAAUGCAGAAAAAAUAAACUUACCUCAUUGGUUUGAAAGUAUGUGCCAUUAAGUGGGAAACCUCCUUGCAUUGCUGUUCUACAAGGGAUCUGUUCAAUUUGCAUUGAUCCAUGUAAGUUCAAGUCAAUAGAGUUAUUAGAAAUUUAGAAUGAUAAGUCUUUUAAUUCAGUUUUUACCAGAAUUGUUCCACGGUAAGUGUUUGAACUUUCUUCUCGUAAAUUCCAACAAUAAGAACAAGUCUUAAUCACGCAGAGGUUUGUUCCAUCUGAGUCACAUUUCUUCUUUGGUGGCAUGAACGAGUUUGACGUUUCACCUAGAAAAAAAAAAUCGGAUAAAAAGCUUAGUUUAUGCUUUAUGUGAAUGAUGAUAAAGUUUUGUGUGUUCGUACCUGGUUGCCAAAGAGCAAGAAGAUAUGGACUAGGAUCAUCACGUUCUCUUCUCUCAAACUAUAACAUAAAAUAGAAUAAAAAUUCAAAUAUAAUGCAAAUUUUUAGUAUUAUAUUGUAUGUAUUUAUACUUACAUCAUUGAGAAGCUCAUGUUUAUCAGGAAGCACAUAUCUGCAAAACAGACAAUUAGAUUACAUAAACUCCCAUAAUAUGAUAAUCUUGCAAACGUAUAUAAAAAAAAUACUUACACCACAUGUUCAGUUCUUAAUCUGUCAUAGUACUUUGUUUUACGAGGCAACUUCAUUGGAAUGCAUGCAUUCUCCUGGGUCAUGACUGCUAAUGCUUUUGAAAUCUCGUCAUUAGAACCGUUGAACAUCGUUCCAAUUUUCUUAAAUGCAUCCACCACGUUUUGUUUAAAUGCAUCAAUGUCGAUAUCGAUUCCAGGUAUUGCAGCAUUAGACCGACAAGAACUUCUGCAAGGAGUAUCCUCAAUGUCUGGCAACUCGGGAAUUUCUCUAGCUGGAGAAGUGGGAAACUCAACUAUUGGCUCACAACAGUUAGUUUGAUUACUGCAUUCAGUGGAAACGCAUUCUUCAAUCGAGUUUAUCUUUGAUGUCAUCUUUGCAUCAUUAUCAUGACAAUAUGAAGUUUGUGACUCUUGGGACUCUUGGAACUCUUGGGACUCUUGGAACUCUUGGGACUCUUGUGUCUUCUGUUCAGGACCCUCGAGAAGAACUUUGGAACUGAAAGAGAAAAAAUAAACGUAAGUCAACUUCUGUUAAAAUAAUUUGUCUUUGGUUAUAUGGCUGCCUUUUGAGAACUAGAUACGGUUUAAAGAGAGCUUUGUUUUGUUUGCAAAAUUCUGUGUAAUUAUGUAACUAACAAAUGAGACUUUUCAAGUUUGUUAUUGUCAAGAAAAUUAAAUAAAGUAACAUAUUUCUUAUUUUUGUGUACAUAGGCAAUGGUAAAGAGACGUGCAAUGACCAACAUCAUCAACUGAUACUCGUAUUAUCCUAAUGUAUAGAAGAAAGAGGGUAACCUGACGUAUGCACUUGCAAAAUAUUUGCAUUCUGAUUUCAUCGGGCAUGCAUUACAGUUAGGAAUAACCUUCGUACAGAAAACCUGUGGUUUACAAGAUUUAGUCCAGAUGAGUACUGAUAUGUAUUUAACUGAAAAAUAUCAUAAUGAAAAGGUUUGUUUGUUAGGUGCACCUUUCCAAAUGUUAUCAUCUGAUAAUGUAACUCGUACCUAUAAGAAUAAAAGGACUAAGAUAAUCAGUACAUGUGUCUAUAUGAUAUCAUAAAUGAUUAGUUUGUUAUAAAUAAAUUUAAACUUUAGUUUGUUAUAAAUAAAUUUAAACUUACAGUGUUUCUUGAGGUAGUUUACAUAGUCGUGGCCAAAGAUAUUUUUGAAUUGAAUCCAUUGAAGGAUACCUAAUUGAAAAAAAAGAGUAAAGUGUUAGUUGCUUAUAUAAAUCUAAAAUUUAAAUAAAAAAAAUACUUAACUGAAAUAAUUGAUGCAACUGAACACCCUCUGGCAAAGGUUCAAGAGGAACCCAACCAAGCCGAACUGCUAUACGUCCAACAUUUGUAUCAACCUAUACACAUCCAAGAGAUAAUGAUCGUUAAAAGAUAACAAGUAGAUUAUAGAUAUGAAUUUUUAAUAAUUUUAUUUCGUACCGGAAAAGCUGAAUGUUUAAGUCCUAAAAGUCGCACGCAUUCGGCACUCUUUAGCCCUAUUCCUUCUAUCUCCAAUAGAUAUCUCCUGAUAAUACAAAAGUUUUAGUGACUUUUUCCAACAUAAAGCUUAAAUAACAUAAAAGAAAUCAACACAAACAUACUUCACUAAGUCAGAAGGAGCAUCUCGAAGCCAUUCAAGAUCCACGGUUCCAUUUUGUUUUGCUUCGUCGUUGAGAAAUUUCUUUAGAAAGUAAAAAAAUAAAGACAUAUUAGUGUCUCUAAAAUAAUAUAUCACCAAGACUUUAAACAAAAAUAGUUUCUUACCAAGAUUUUUCUUGCAAGACCAUUAUGCUGUCCUCGUUUCAUGAUGGUGUCAGCAAGAACUUGUUGAUCAGAUAAUCUUACAGCAUUCCAAUCAACAGUGUCCAUAUGUAUUGUAUCCCUAAAUCCUUCUUUUGUGUAGAUUUUUCUCAAACUCUCCCAAUCAACACUCUCAUCUUCCAUGAUACCUGUUUUUUUGUUUUUUCUUUUUGCAUCUUUCUCAUGUUGCUCUAAAUUUUCUUGUAAGGAGAAAGAUCCAAUUGAGCUUUUAGCAUCAUCCUUCUCAUUCUGAAUUGGUAUUUGACCAUUAGCAACCAAGUUAUUAACCUCUUGAGGUUCCUCGAUGAAAUAUGCUAAGCUUUCCAAACUUUCUUUUGCAUCCACCGGAAAUUUUGCAGCAACACUCAUGAAAGCAUUGCUGUAGAAAAUAGUUGUUAGAGCAAAACAUAUUUCAUAUCAAAGUUUUGUAAAUUAAUUCAGAUUUUACCUUGAGAGGUAGUCGGAAACAUUUUGUGUCAAAAAUACUCCAACCACUGAAUCAACAACCGAACCUUUCCAUUGUUUAAAUUUCCUAUUGCCUACAAAAUAGAACCACUAACAUAGUUAAAUGCACAAAUUUUUUGCUAACAAAAUAUCUUACAAAUAAUAACAAUGUACCUUGUAGAAGAUGCAUCCGAUUGAUGAAAAGUUCUAUCCGGCUUUGAAAGAUCUCUCGUUCUCCUUUCCACUUGGACUCUGUAUUUUCCUCAUUGGAAUAUGAUUGAUGUGGAAAAUCGUUUUCCAUUAAUAACUCCCACUCUUUAAUGGUUUCGGGAUCAAGAUUCACUUUUGCAAUAACCAGUUUUUUCUUUGCCUUGCCCAAAGUUGUUACUCUUCGAUUGAUAUUCAAUUUCUCCAUCUCCUUGAUUAACUUGGCAACACCUUUAGUAGUUUUUUUCAUAGACUGUUCAGGCGUUAUGUUAGUAACAGAUCUCAUAAGUAUAUCUGCCAAAACAAAAAAAAAACAAUUAAUAAUGUGUAACCAAAUCAACCACCUACCACUAUAUGUUAGAUAUGAAUUGCAAAAUGAAUAAAAUAUAGUUUGUGUUCUAUAAAGAAAUGUGAAAUGUAAAUAUAAAUAUAAAGCAUGAUAUAAAAUUGAUUAAUUCUAAUAUACAUUCUAAUUUACAUAAAUUUAUAUAGAAAAUAUGCAAUGUGGAUGCAUUACAGUUCAUGAGAUUCAUAAUCGAUAAGCAUAUGGAAAAUACGUAGAAUAUGAAAAAUGAACAUAAUACAGAAAAAAAUAUACAAUCGAAAACAUAGUUUAUUUUACGUUAACAUGUUGAACCCUAUUAUUAUUAUUAUUAUUAUUAUUAUUUUUUAUCCUAGAUACAGUUAUUCUUUAAAUGUUCAAUUGUUUUAUACCUAUACAUGUUACUACUGUAUGAUAGUUGUAGAGGUGAAUCUAAUGAUGGUGUUCACAGUUAACUAAUUCUUCUAAUGUGUAGUAAAUGUAUAAAAAAAUCAAAGUUUAAAUCAAAAGUGAUAGCUACUUGCAAGAUUUUUAUGAUUUUUUCUCCUAUAAUUUGAAAUAUAAAACUGGUUUCCGUGUAAUGAAACAUCAAAAUUAUUUUUCUUAUAAAUCAAAAAAAAAAAAUAUGGUUACCUUCUUUGUGUAAUGGAACAUCGGCUAGUGAUGGAAGAUUGUGUUCCCUUUGAUAAUUUAGUUGUAGAGUUAGAUUAUUCAUAACUUUCUUUUCUUCAGUGUGUAAAUCUGUAAAAUUGAUUAUGUUAUGAGUAUACACGUAAAAACAAUAUAUACAUAAUAAAUAUAACUAGAUAUAGUGGAGAAAAUAUCAGAUUUUAUGAAUAUAUAAUAAAUUGUAUAAACACUAAUUACCUUUAGUCUGAACUGAAGCAUCUUGACGUCUAAUUUUCUUAGCCUUUUUCAAGUGUUCAUUGGAGCCUACACAAUAACAAAAAAUCAUAUAAACUGAUAUUGCAAAAUUAUUAUCAUCUAUUCUUAUCUAAUAAUUUAAAUAAACACUUUAAAACAUUAUCAAAAAUAAAAGUUUUACCAUCUGUUAUUUUCUGGUUAGAAUGCAUCAAACUCAGAUUUGGUACCAUCUUUUUUAUAUCUGUCAGAAAUGUAUAGAUAGUCAAAUUUAAUACAACAUCAAAAAUAAUGGGUAUAUAAUAAAAAUAUACUUCAACAAAGAAUAAAGAAAAAUAGUUGAUUACCUAUAUCGUCUGGAUGAAUUUCUACCAGUGACAAAGUUUCUUCUAUGCAUUCAUAAGAUAAAGCAAUCAUAGUCCACCUGGUCAGAUUUUUCUUUCGACUAGACCUUUUUGAUUGCUUUUUCCAAAUGGGCAUAGGAAACGAGAUUGGUGAUAUCAACACAUGAAAAUCAAUCCUGCGAAGUGUGGUCAUCCUCCUUUUGCCUUUUGGAAAACUAGGCAAACAACUUCUACUAAACUCAAGACAACCAGAAAUAACUUCUUCAUCAAAUGGCAACGUUCGAGCAACACUCUUUUUUGCCUUGUUUUUUCUUCUCUUUGGAGAACUCUGCUUUUCUGGAGUUUGAAGCUCAACUACAUAGUCAUCUUCAUCGCAUUUCUCCUUUUUACUCCUUUUAUUAGAUAUAGUUCUCAUUUGAAGCUUGGUAGGAUUCCUUGGUUUCUUGCCAUCUUCCAUAAUCAUUGGCCUAUGGAAUCUCUUUUUGGAUAUCUUUUCAGAAUAGUUCUUCUUUCUUUCUCCAUUAACAUGUUGUGAAUCAUCUUUCACCAAAUAAAACAAUCACAAACAAGAUCAAUACAUGACAAUUCCUAGCAACCUAAAAAAUUUCUAAUAUAUAGUGUUAGUGAAAACUAUAUUUGUUUGAUAUUGAGAUGUUUGUGCUAACUAUAUUUUUCUUAGUAGAUGUAAGAUUUUUUUUACCUUCAAGAAUUGUUGACUUAGCAUUUUUCUCUUCAGUUUCUUCUUUAGAGUUUUUCUUCCCUUGUGUGCCAUGAAGACUUUGUAGAUCGACUUGUACCAACAAAUUAAAUAAAAGCGUAGUAAGUAAUUGAUCUAUACUAUAGAUAACACCAGCUUGAAUUAAAUAUUUUGGAUUGGUUUUUAAUUACCUUUAAAAGUUUCUGGUUCUUCACUCUUUUUCACAGACUCCUCUUUAGUUGUAUUGUUUGUGUUGAAAUCUGAAGAACCAGAACUUGCAGAGUCAUCCAUGUUUUGUAACUUAUUGAGCAGCUUAGGAGGCUUUCGUCGAACAUAGAAUUUCAGUGGCUGUUGAGGCUUAACCGGUGUUCCUUGAACAACCAAACCGGAAAAUUUGUCUAGAUCUUUUGACUUCUCCAUUGUUGUCUCCUGUGACAUAUACAUUGAUUAGAAAACCUUUUAUAGAACUCAACUCAAUUUAAUUGAACUAAUCCUCGGUGAGAUACAAAGACUUCUUACAAAGAUAAUUUGACCCAAAAAUAAGAUUUUCAGUUUCAGAGGAACGAUCGUUUAUGGAGAACUAGAGGCGGAAUUAAACUUACAGAAUAUAAUUGCUGAAUACUCUGACGCAAGAGAGAGACAGAAGGACUUCGAGAAGAAUAGUAUAUCUGAAGCACACACGAUUACCUCAACUUCCUUCAGAGAAAACCUUCGGGGAAAAAGUAAAUAUAUGAAAAAUAAGAAAACACGAUCUCUUAUUUUCCUGUAGGUUAUUUUCCUUUUUCAAAUUUGAGGGUUGUUUUUCCAUAUUUUGAUGACAAGAUGUUUAGAUAAUUAUGCUAAAUAUUUCCAAAAAAAAAACAGAAUAUUCAAAAUUAUAAUGGAUUUUUAUCAGUUUGAAAAAAAAAUUAAUAUAUGAAGAGAUUUUCCUAUAUUCUCGUGGUUUAUCUAUUUUUCAAGAAAAUCUAUCAAUAUAAUUAUAUAUACUAAUAUUUUGCAUUUUUGAAAUGUAACGCUUAGUUUAUUUCGAAAAUAUACUAAACGAAAAAAAAAUUCAGCAGCUACUUUUUGUUCACUGGGUUUGGUUAGUAUUAGGGGCCUCCAGGUUAUUUUAUUUGUAGGUUCCUCUAGUAGAGAAUAUUAUGGACUUUUGUCUAUUAGUUAUGCAUAAGUUCAUGUCUUUUUAGAAAACUUAAUGAUUGAUAUUUUAUUUUAGAUGUUGUAUAUUAUAUAGUGAAAACCAAACAAAACAAAGAGGUUGAAAACAUUAUUACUUUGUUCACAUAGAAAGCAAAAACAAAGGACAAUGGUCAAUGGAGAGUAACGAAAGACAUAAGGGUGGUUGGUGAAAAUGCACACUCAGCAUUGUGAUAUCAAUCAACUGAUUCGACAGACAUAUAGUGAUUCCAUCACCAACAGGGAGCAUACAGAUCUCGAUCCUAGGGUCAACAGCAAGGGCUGGUGUAGCUCACAAGAUCGACUUCAGGGAAGGUCCCUGCUCUUCCUCUUCUUGAUGAACUCGGGCCAAAGACCGUUUAAGGUUGAGCUAAUCAUGUCAAUAAUCAUAUUUGUACUCAUUUAGUUUAUACAUUUAACUCAAAUAAUGCAGGUAUUUUUGGGUGGCCAAUUGUCAAAAAUCAAAAAAGUAAUAUAAAGUAAGGAACACGCCCGGUGGGACUCGAACCCACAAUCGUCUGAUUAGAAGUCAGACGCCUUAUCCAUUGGGCCACGGGCGCCUUGGUGCUAUCACAAACCAAAUAAGAUACUUUUUCUAAAGUUCCGAUGGUAAACGAACUGUCAACACGGCUGUGACACGACCGCGUUUCAUUCGUCUUCUUCGCUUUACUUCGAGAAGUGUAGAGUUAAUAGAUAAGACGCUCUCUCUCUCUCUCUCUCUCUCUCUCUCUCUCUCCCCGUGCAGCUGCAGUUAGCAACCGUCACUGUGGUCUUUGAGAUUUUCUCUUUCGAUGAUAGCUUCGCUGAGUCCAACUCUAACAGAGCCGAUGCUCAUCUCUUCGAUGUGCUCUAUCUCAGCGACCGUUGCUCCUCCGAGUUUGUAUUCAAUCUCUCUGAUUCAUUCACCACUGAAACAAAGGAAAGCCCGAAACUUUAUACUCAGAGCUACUCCGCCGUCACUAAGUAUGGAAACAACGAAAGACAUUAUCGACGUUAGCCUCGUGCCAAUUCCCAAAAAGGUCUCUCCUUUACACCUUCUCAGAAUCUAAAGCUCCCACCUUUAUUUACCUAGAGAGAGAGAAAAUUGAUAAACCAUGUUUAUAUAGGUGCUCGUGCCGAUUGGAUACGGUACGGAGGAGAUAGAAGCUGUAGUCUUAGUCGACGUUCUACGGCGAGCUGGUGCUGACGUCACUCUUGCCUCCGUGGAGCAGAAGCUAGAAGUUGAAGGCUCAUCAGGGACCAAGCUGCUUGCUGAUGUCUUAAUCUCGAAAUGUUCUGAACAAGUUUUUGAUCUUGUGGCUUUGCCUGUAAGUUAAUUAGACAUUAUAGAUCAUCUCCUUAUGUUCUGCUUUUGUCUGAUCUAUUAUCAAAUUGUGGAAAGGGAGGCAUGCCUGGUGCUGUUAGGUUGAGAGACUGUGGAGCUUUGGAGAAGAUCAUGAAGAGACAAGCUGAAGAGAAGCGGUUGUACGGAGCUAUCUCCAUGGCUCCGGCUAUUACUCUUCUUCCUUGGGGGCUUUUGACAAGAAAGAAGGUAUAAAGUUUAUUAUCAGAUGGUUACUAAUCAUUUUGAUUUCAUUUUCUAAACUUGGUGUUAGUUCAUUGUGCAAGACAACAGGACAUCCUGCUUUUUUCGGGAAGCUGCCUACGUUUUGGGCUGUUAAGACAAACAUUCAGAUCUCAGGAGAGCUUACAACUAGCCGUGGACCAGGCACUUCUUUUCAGUUUGUUCUUUCCCUGGCUAACCAGCUCUUUGGAGAGACCACAGCCAAAUCGGUUGGAGAGCUUCUGGUAUUUAUCUUUAUUCACUUGUUUUGGAUUAUUCUUUUUUGAUAUGUAACAAUCUUCUUUUCCAAUCAUGUUUUAGCUUCUACGCGAUGGUUUCCAGAAUCCUGAGAUUAAAGAGGUGAAUAGCAUUGACUGGUCUCUAAACCACACACCUCGUGUAAGUCAGCAUGAAGCUAUAACCUAUGCACUUCCAUGUAAUCUCAUGAGAUGAUGAUAUGAUGAUAUGAUGAUAACUCAUUUUUUGUUUUCUUCUUAAGUAUCUUCUUUUGUGAAAAUGGUUUUAAAUGAUGUUAACUAAAAUUCAGGUUCUUAUGCCGGUAGCCAAUGGAUCUGAAGAGGUUGAAGUGGUUACAAUUUCAGAUGUUCUUAGAAGAGCCAAAGUAGAUGUCACGGUUGCAUCGGUUGAAAGAUCUUUGCGGAUUACUGCAUCCCAAGGCACUAAAAUUGUUACUGACAAAUUGAUUGGUGAAGCUGCUGAAUCAGCAUAUGAUCUAAUCCUUCUUCCUGUAAGAGAUCAAGAUCAUUAGAGCUAUCUACUGAUGUUUUAUUACAUGGUGAGUUAACUUUUGAUGUCUUUCUAUUGAUGGGAUUAUCUAGGGAGGCCGUGCUGGCUCAGAACGUCUACAGAAGUCCAAAGUUCUCAAGAAGCUACUCAAAGAACAACAAGAAGCUGAGCGAAUCUAUGGAGCUACUAACUCUUCAUCUACUGUCCUGCAUAAGCAUGGUUUACUCAAGGUGAAUUUAAGAUUUUUUUUGUUCUAGAUAUGAGCAAACACUGUACACCAUUUGGAUUAUGUUGCAGGAGAAGAGAACAGCUGUGUACGUUUCAGACACAGAUGGGCCUGCAAGUGACCAAAUGAUCGAAGGAGCUGAAGUUGUUAUAGAUGGAAACGUGAUUACAAGUUUGGGGCUGGCAACUGUUACUAAUUUCUCUCUAGCUAUUGUUAGCAAGCUGUUUGGACAUGGUAGAGCAAGAAGUGUUUCAGAAGGGCUUGUCCAUGAGUAUAGAGGGAAUUUGAAGGCAUCUUGAUCAAGAUACACAGUUAGAAGAUGUCUCCACUGCUUCUACAAGAAAAUUUUGUCAUUUAAGUUAGUUUUGUAAAACAUUUUGUAUUAGCAGUUUGAGAUUACAACAUGAUUGAUUAUUAACUUGAUGUUUCCAUCAAUCUAUUCACUCUGUCUCACGGUCCCAAAAUUAUUAGUAGGAAAAAAGAGGUCCACAGAGGUAAUAUAUGCUACAAGACAAAUCCACUAUGAUUAAGUCACAAAGAUGUUCAAGACAUUGACACGUCCUAUAAAGCAACAUCAAGAUCAAUUACAUCAGGAACAUAAAACCAAAAGACGCUUCAAGAAAACAGAAGAAGAAAAAAGAGUGUUGAUCUUGUCAAAUAAGGCCACACUUCAUUUACCUACAAUCACCCCCACAGAAAACACCUGCCUAAGUUACAUACAAAGCUAGCUUCUACUUUCUGUGUUGUUCUAUAAUAACUUCUGCUCUUUGUUGAGCUCCUUGGAGGGCUUCAUAAACAAGCUCUCUACCAAGGACCUGUCAGUGUCCUUCUCAAGCAUUGCCUUUUGCAUCCCCAUGGCUGACGCAUCGGCUCCAGAAGCUGCAACAACAAAUGAGCUAAUCUCUGUUAAAUAUCAAAACUUGUGGGACUAGUCUUAAUGUGAAUAUGUGAUGUUAUACUUCACUUCAUUGUGUUGCUUACAGACUAUAUAAGUCACAGUAUUCAACUAAAAGCUUAGACUAUUGUGUAAUAGCAAUUCACUUUUCUGGCCAGAGUUAAAAGCUUAGCCAACUCAAGCAUACAAGAGACAGUACCUGUUUUUUCUGCUUUUCUAUGAUCUCAACCUACACGAAACAUUUGGUCAAAUAAUUGGUCAGAACCUCAAGAAAAUAUAUUCCAAAUGAAAAAAAAAAAUAUAGACAAUGGGAAGAAGCAGAGACACACUUGUUUCCUCUGCAACUCUUCAUUCUGCUCUUUCAGCUGUGCAACUUCUGCCUCCAACUCCAACGUAUAAGCCUGUCAGACAGCAAAAUGAAAAAAGUAAAAAAACCUAUACCAGACAGUGGUUUAAAGGUUUCUUCAGUCUCCAAAAUUUAAGUGGACACUCACUUGCUUGCGGGCGCGGGAUCUUGCAGCUGAUUCCCUAUUCUUAAUCAUCCUUUUCUGCCUCCUCUCAAUCACUUUCUCCAGGACUGCGCCUGUUUUUCUCACUCGACCAAACAUGUAAGGAACUGGUGACAAAGAUGCAUCCAUGUUGCUCUUUGGAGUCAACUCAGGUGACAUCUGGCUUCCAGGAGAUACUGCUGCAACCGUAACUCCUGUUUUAAAAUCAACAGCCUGAAGAAGGUUGUUAUUGUUCAUAGGCCUGUCCCUAACUCCAAGAACUGAAGGCUUCACUUCCUAAAGGCAAAAAAACAAACCAUGGUCAAAUAAACUAAAACAUAACUACAAAUACAAAACUAUUAGUCAGGAAAUAUAGACGAUUUAAUAAAGAUUUCAAUAGUUUGGAAGACUGAAAUAAUUUUUUUUAAAAUUUGGGGGAUUAUCUAUAUACAAUUUUUUCAAAAAUUUUGGAGACAUGAUACGAAUGUUUCAUUAGGCUUAGCCUAUGACCGGCUCUGAGCUUAUUCCUCAAACAUGAAAACUACAUGAUCUAAUAACAACAUAGUCAGGUUCUUAGUCGUCACACCUGUGUUGGAGGUUGAGAACGGUUGACCAAAUCAACAGUGUUGGAAAACGCUAUAGUAGACUGUUUAGGAAAAGCUACAUCCUGCUGCUUCUGUAUCAGUUGCUGCGGCUGAUGCACCUUCUGUGGCUGCUGCUGCUGCAUCUGCAACGGCUGAGUUUGAGUUGUCAGCAGAUCCGGUCUCACCAGGUUAGGACCAAACCCAUUACGAGCUGAACCCAAACCUGCAUCACCUCCAAAUCCAAAGAACCCACCGUUGAAGCUAUCCACUCUCUCCACCUGUUGAGGCUCUUCCCUAACCACACCAGCUCUCACCAAGAACUCCUCCAGAGUCAUCUCCCCCAACGUCUGUUGCCUCUGCGGAACUCCACUCGCUCCUCCACCACCACUUCCAGCGUCAUCGUCCUUCAUCAGCUCUUUCCAGACAUCAUCAACUCUUUUCUGACUAAUGGUACGAGGUAAAGUAAUUGACCCUUGUCUCUGCAAACCCCCACCAACACCAAUCUCUCCUCCCACACCAACAGACAAACCUCCAUUAAAAGUGUUGUUGAAACUGGUGUUGUUGGCCAUUAUAGAGUGGCUUUCCUCAGCUGUCCAAAUGUUCUUCAAGAGCUCGUCCAUGUUCAUGGACCCAAAGUCCUUCCCAACCCCACCACCCCAUGAGUUCUGAAACUCAUCAAAGGUUAACGAGAAAACAGAGUUCUGUCUCGUCAGAGGAACACCAGCUCCUAAAGCUGGUUGCUUUGCGUCGUCAACGAAGUUAAAUCGAGAACCCAUCUCUUAAAAAUUCAAUCUUUGGAUCCUUCAAGUAAAACAAACAAAUAAAAAUCAGAUCUUUUAAUCAAAUUCGAAACAGAGCAAAGAGUGAAAACAGAGGAUCUGAAACAAUUCUACAAAACAACCAAUCAUAAGCUUAUAUUGGGCGGGAAAAUUCAUGAUUCUGAUCCAAUCAACGAAUCUGAAACAAGAAACCAAUCAGUGAAAGUUUUUAUUUUCCUUACCUUCGGAUUUUUAUUUUUUAUUUCGAUAUUUCCUUUUCGAGAAAGAAAAAAAGAUCUGAGGAAUAUAGAGAGGGAGGGAGCGACAUGUGUCCAUGGCGUGACACUCGUCGUGAUAUAAAGGGCAGUUUCGACUGUUUGGACGCGGGGAUUAUUUUAUUCUCGAUAAGGUAUUAAAAACACUUUGACGUCAGAUCGUGCGUGAGCGAAAGAGAUUGGACAACGUGGUCCAAUGAGAAACGCUGCUUUUUUCUAUAAAUAUCGUUAUCAUACGCUUACGAUUCCAACGAAUAGUGGUUCGCAAAGUGGAAGGACGCUGGCCGUUAGAUUUUCUAAUCGACAUCGUCGGUAAAGAGAUGAAUAUUGUUUUUUUUUCUUUUAAUAUUUUAAAAUUUGUAAUUUGCCGGAUGAUUUAUUUGGUAGACGGACAUUAUGCAAAAGCAGGUCUUUUCACAAUGUUAAUAAAUGGGUAGACUUACAGUUAAACUAUUGGGAAAUUGGGGUGGAUAGCUACAAAACAAAAUAUAAUUAAAUAUCUAGCCAAAAAAAAAAGUACCUUCAUUAUUUAUGUAAUAUAUACUAUAAUACCCUUAGCAACUGGUUAAUAAAAGAUAAAAAAAAUAUUUUCUUCUUCUUCGAUUAACUACUACCAUCAAUAUGCUUUCAUCUCUACCACCUUGUCUUCCGACGCCGUUAUAAUACCAUCAUCACUAAUUCUCCACUUUAUUUUGUGUUUAUCGUCUCUUUAAAGAUUAUUUUUUUUUUCUAUAAUCAGUAUCCCUUUUUUAUAAUUAUUUUCACCUCACUCAUAUUCACAUUCAUCACUGAACCACCAUCACCAUAGCCAUGAAAUCUACAGUUUACGACGGCGUUACGGUCGAGGUGCCCUCAUUUGUAUCCUAAGUUUUUGGUUGUACUAUGCUAUUUGGACAAUAUGUACUAUGUCAUUUCGUUUGUUACUAUUUUAUUUAAUAUGCUUCAUAUUAUGUAGUACAUGCAUGUUUUGAUAUCUCGGUUAAGGUUUAUAUUUUCUUUUGGGUUUUGGUGAUUAGUGUUUUGGGUUUAGUUUAUGUAAGGUUUAGAUUGACGUUGGGGUAAGCAUUACCUCAUUCCUGCAAUCAUAAACAUUUCAAAAUUUGAAAAAUAUGUACUAUGCUAUUUCGUUUGUUACUAUUCUAUCUGAUAAUGCUUUAUAUUAUGUACUAUGUACAUAUUUUGAUAUUUUGGUUAGGGUUUAUAUUUCCUUUUAGGGUUUAGUGAUUAGUGUUUUGGGUUUAGUUUAUGAAAGGUUUGGGUUGACGUUAAUAUGUACUAUGCUAUUUCGUUUUUCACUACUCUAUUUUAAUAAUGCUUCAUAUUAUGUACUGUGUGUAUAUUUUGAUAUUAGGAUUAGGGUUUAUAUUUUAUUUUAUAGUUUAGUGAUUAAUGUUUUGGAUUUAGUUUAUAGAAGAUUUGGAUUGACAUGGAAUAAGCACUACUUCCACUAUUAUUAAUUUCAUUAAUAUGAACUAUACCAUAUGCAGAAUGUUCUAUUCUAUUUCUUCUGUUUAUCUUCUUCCGUAAACAUUAGAUCUUUCUUUGAUCAUUGCAGUCAUAUUAAUUUUUGUAUGAAAGAUGACUGUUUCUUUUGGAUUGACAACUUGUGUUUCAUCCUUAACCACUCUUGUUGUAGUAUAUUGUCCUAAUUCUUUUUUAGAAAGAAAAAAAAAUUCAUCAUCUUCGUAGUCACCACUACCGCCGGUGUGAUAACCAAUAUCACCGUUCUGAUAACCACUAACGCCGCGACCAGCAAUAAUCACCACAAAUAUUGAUCACAAUUUUUUUUCUUUGACUGGCAACUGGUUCAAAAGAAGGAGAAAACCGGAAAAAUAUUGCACAAAUGCUAUGAGAUCUAAUAACGUCAAAAUCAAUGCCAUAUUCUUAAUUUGUUAGUGAAAUAUGGCUAGUUCACAAAUAAGCCCUAAACUAUUUAUGUGAAAUUAUUAAUUGCGCGAACGUCUAGACUAAAUUUUUUGAAUGUUUAAACCAAUUUUUUUUUAAAAUUAAUCUAGAAAAAUUAUCAUGAUUCACUACUGAUAACUGCAAAGAUCCGUAGACGGAGUUAUACUAUACUAAAAGUCUAAAACAAACAGAAAAAGAGAGAAUGUUAUAAAAUUUAAAUGAAUACUAGAUUUUGACCCGUGCAACCGCACGGGUGUUUGUUUUCACUUUUCUAUACAUAAAUUAUUGUUUUAGAACAUAAGUGGUAUGUUACAAAAAAAAUAAUAAUAACAUAAGUGGUAUAUAUUUUUAAUGUUAAUCAUAUACAUAAAUAUUUAUAUAACUAUUUCAAAUACAAUAAUUUUAUAAUUUACAUGUUAUAAUUAAUUAAUUGUUUAAACCUUCUGUAUUUACCACUUAUUAUUAUAUAUUUAUCUUAUUGUAUUUGCAUUUAGUUAUUAAGCAAAUAAAUAUAUUCAUGAGAAAAUAUAUUUAAAAAAUAUUUUGUAUUUAAUUUAUGCUAAAUUCUGACCCGUAUUUCAAAACUGGAUUUCUUUUUACCAAAAUUUUUAUGCUUAUUCAUUUUAGAUAAUUUAUUAUUGUAUAUAUAAAAGUGUAAGAUAUGUUAAUUUUUAGACAUGUAUUAUAUAGUUUGUUAAUUUUCAGCCGUUCUAUCAUCAUAUUAUAUUUUAAAUAAAUAGUUUAUAUUUAUGAAAAUAAAAUUUAUAAAUUUAUCAAUUGAAUAUAAUUUUAUCAUAUUUAUUUUAGUAUAAUAAUUAUAUUUUAACGUGAUCAUGACUAUAAUUUAUUUAUUUUUAUUUCUAAACGAUAACUUAAAAUACAUUAAGUUAUUGUUUAAAUAUUACACAGAUUUAUUAGAAUUUUUAAAAUAUAAUAUAUAAAUAUAUAUUAUAUUUAAAAUGAAAAUAUAUUAUGAUUAAAGUAGUUGCAAAGAUUUUAUAUUAUUAACUUUAAAAAUACAUGUAUUAUAUAGUUUGAUAAUGUUAACCCAUCUUACCAACAUAUUAGAUUUUAUUUUUGAACAUAAAUAUUUUAUAAUUACGAAAAUAAAAUAUAUAAAUAUGUAAAUUUAAUACAAUUUUAUUAUAUUUAGCUCAAUAUAAUAAUUUUAAUUUAAUAUGAUUGAUUAUGAUUAUAUAAUAACUAAAAUGUUAUAGAUUUUUUUAUUUUUCAUUUUAUAUAAUUAAAUAUAUUAAUGUAUAAUAAUAUUUUAAACUAAUUUCGAAAUUAGUGAAAAUAUUUAAAUAUAAUUUCGAAAAUGAAGAUCUUGUAAAAAUAUUUUUAAACAGAUUUGUUAGAAUUUUAAAAUAAAUAUAUUUAUAUUUAAAAUGAAAAGAUAUCAAAAGAUACUAUGAUUAAAAUAUUUUAAAAAUUAUAUUUAUUAUUAGUCUGAAUUAAAAUAUAGUAUGAAUUUCUAUGAAUAGGUCCAUUAGGUCUAUUUUUAAAAAAAUCACACUUGAAUCAAGGUUGUGACUUCUGUUUUAAUAUAUAAGAUGAAUUAUUAUACAAUAUGCAGUAUUUUUGUAUACAAAGUGGAGGAGCCGACGGGUGAUCAGUUCCGGAAUCUUUAUCACGUUUGCUGCUGCACCUACAAGGGAUGGACAUUUACCACGUGGCGCACUCAGCGACCUCGUAAAGUAUUAAAAUGAAGCAACAAAAAUUAUAAUAUCAGUACUGGUGUCCCAUUACUCACAUAAACCCUUUGUGUUGAUCCUCACAUGUGAUCUUCUCUUUAAUUUAUUUUAUCUUUUUCAUUUUCUUUUGUUUAUUGAUGUUUCUUCAUUGUUAUGGACUUAUCAUGGACUCGGUACACAAUACAGGUGACCCUUCGUGUCACCCAUCGUUUAUUUCUAUUUUCAAUCAUAUAUAAUACUAGUUUUUCUUAAAGAAUCUACUGGAUUAGGAAAGUCUAAGCUGCAUUAAUUCAUAAAAAAUGGAACCGUGAGCUUAUAGAAUUCACAUGGACUCGACUCUACUAGUCUUUUGAAGACAUGUUCUUUCCUUUAUUAGAUUUAAUUAAUCAAAGUUACUUCUUUAAGGUCGUGAUGAGAUAACUACACACAUUUUCUAACCAUUCCUUUACUAUUCCGGAAUACAAAAAACAAAUAAAUCUAGAACAAAACGAAUAAAACAACAGACAAAACGAUAUAAAAAGAAUCAAUGUCAUGACGCUUAUAUGUUUUCUUAUAGCUUUAUUUUGUGUCCAAAAUUCAAAGUUGCUAAGAUUAGUUGAGCUCUUAGAGGGUAUACCAAUUGGAGAUCUCUGGAUUAGAAAAUUGAAUUAUUGUUGGGAGAAACUAAGCUUUGAGGCAUAGCAAGAUAUCGGUUAAGUCUAAUAAACUAUUACAUAUUCCUCAAAAUAAGUAUAUUUUCCUAGUAAAUACAUAUUGCAUGUGAAGUCCAACGGCCCGAAUAAAAAAGGUCGGAGGUUUCGCACUCUUACACGCAAUCCAACCACGUGGACCAGAGAUCUUUGAUUGUUUUCUUAUGAAAGAGGAUUGUAGUGAACGACUAAGCCCUGAUUGACCAACGUGCGUCAGAUCAUAUGCUCUAUAAGAGAUGCUUAGUUGAACAUAUGCUUCAAAUGUAGCUAUAAGUAUUUCCUCUCUAUAAGUCUUACCUUGUGGGCCUUAUAUGGGCUCCACAUCGUAUUCAGUUGGCUUGAACUUAUGCGAAUUACUCAGUUCCAAAAUUGCAUAGUUCCUUUGGAUUUUUCAAAUUGGUUUCAUAUGGGUAGGCGUAACUGAAUCACUGAUGCCGGUGAUUUUAGUAGAGGAAUUGUGAUUCAUUUAUACUCGAUAAGACAUGGCCUGGACUCUAAACUAUUUGUUUACAACAAUUUUAUUGAUAUGUAUGCUGAACCUAGUGGACCUUAAGGGUUGCCAUAAGGUUUUUGAUAGGAUGAUUGUGAGUGGAUUUGGUCGGGUAUGUAUAUAUGGGCUCUAAAAUUUAGGCCCACAUUUCAACAUUGAAUUAGAUGUGGAUUUCACAAAACCCUACGAUCUUCUUAAGAAAAACACCCAUGCCAGGAGAUUUAAACAUAUGUACAAAAUGUAUAAGAUUUGAUAAGAAAAUAAUCCCAAUUAUUCUACGUACCUCUGUCACAUAUUAUAGUAAAUUCUAUCCCGAAUGCAUGAAUGAAAAGAUUAGAUACAUGUUUACAAAGUAAAAGUAAAACUAACUACAUUGGAAAGGCGAGAUAUUUUUCUUGGUUUGUCAAAGUAAAAGGGCAGAUAUUUUUCUUGGUACGGACACAAGUAGCAGAUAUUUUUGACCCAACCACUGCCACGCCAACAAGUGCAUUAAAAUAUCCUUUGGCCAAACCAAUGGCUAAUUUUAAUUAGUUUAUUUCUAGGAUUUAUCCAAUAAACUUCUAACUAUCAUUUAUGUCUAGGAUUUAUCCAAUAAACUUCUAACUAAGUAUCAUUUAUAAUCCAGACAUAAUUAAUCCUUUUAUUUGGCGUUAUCUCUUUAUCCAAAAUCCAAAAUGAUACUAGUAUUUUAAUGAAUACAGCUAGCUAAUUAUUUGAAUUAACAAAAAACUUUUGUGGUGCAUUGAAAAAGAGCCAAGGCCCCAUGACGAUUCACGAUGUUCUUAAGAUGGAUUAUUAUGACGUUAACUUUAUGUUAUCUAAUUCUAAAAGUUUAUCCAAGAUCUGACCAAAUCUGAUUUAGUUUAAUAAAUCCUAAAAGCAAACAUAUUAAACAAGGAAAGUAAUCAGAACGUAAAAAGAAAAAUCAAAAUCAAAAUCCUGACCUAUUAAAUUCGGUAAAGAGAAAAAUAAUAUCCAAAUCACACAACCUCCUUCCGGGAAAAAAAUAAAUAUCUGGCUGAUAGAUAUUUGUCCAAGAUAUUAUCAUCGCUGCUGAUGACGUGGCGGUACUAUGCCACGUGUAAAAGCGAGGCCAUGUGGACCCUUCCUUGUCUUUAAGGGGUCUAUCUCAAGCAAGAGAAGUAAUUUGUGUUUUGUUCUUUUGCGUUGAGAGAGAGAGAGAGAGAGAGAGCACCGAUGGCGAAUGAGUACGAGGUGGUGAAUACUGUUUCUCUCGAGAUGCAUCACGAUGCGGCUGAAUCUCAGAGCGACUCGUCGACUCUCUCGAACUCGUUCGAGUCCGGCCUCACGGUUGGCGAUGCCGAUUCGAAGAAGCUGGUAAACAAACCGAAUCUUCUAUUUGUUCUGUUGUUGCCUUUGAGACGUAAGAGAUAGUUAAUUGAUCUAUUUAGGAAAGUAAUCUUAUUUGAGAUUGUUAGAUAUGGAAGGAAGGAAGCUUCAGAUCUGAUGCUAGUGUUAGGUUUUACACUCGUUAACCUAAAAAGAUCUUAUUUUGAUGAAUGAUACUAAUCAAUCCUUUGUAAGCAUUUGCCAAAAUCGAAAAAGUCAUUUAUUUUAAAUGAAUUUGAAUCUUCUUCUGAGUGAUUUGAUUUCUUGACAAGUAUGUUGUGUAACUGUUUAUGCAGGAUGAGUGUGGUGGAUGGACGAAUGAGAAACACAACUUGUAUCUUGAUUCUUUGGAGAACUCUUUUGUUAAGCAGUUGUAUUCCUUGCUUGGAGUGGGAGGAGAGACUCAGAGGCUGAGUAGAACUCGUGGUGUGCAGUCUAACUCUCACAAAUUGACUGAUCAGGUUCGUUUUUUUUUCUUUUUAAUACUGUUUCUUCAUUUGUUUUUGUAAACCUAUAGCGAGAAAACUUACGACGUUAUCUUUUUGUAGUUUACGGUACUACAAAAUGGUUACCGGCAGAAAGUUAGCUUUGGGAAAAAACGAGCUCAUUUGGAGACGAUGGGAACUGAUAAAGGUUUUACUAGAACAUCCAUGAGAACUUCUUUGGUGCAUCAGUAUCCAGCUCAAAGCACUGCAGGUAACAUUCUCCUUAGCCUAGUUGAAUCGAACUCCUCUUGGGAGUUGUAUGUUUUGGCUUCUUCUCUUCUUGUUUUUGUUACCCAAUUAGUGUAUGUUCACAUUUCAAAUUCUAUCUAAGAACUAGGCUGAUACUUUUGAGUAGAUCAAUACUUAAGUUAUCUUUUGCAUUGGCUUUUAGAAGGCUUUUGCUGCAGAAACAUAAGAGUUGAUAUGACCUGUGGGGGAUCAAAGAAAUGAUUGUUGCUACGAAAGACAUGUAUGAGAUCUGGUCUGAUAUCUAUUCACCCACCGACCCACUUAUGAAUGUUUUUUUUUGUUUUGAACUUGUAUUCUCACCUGCCUGAUAGUAUCUGUUUAAAGUCUAAACCCUGACCUCAUUUGUUUUUAUAACUCCAGAGGCGUCAGGGCAGAAUUUCAGAGAAGAAGUGGAAGAGAAGGGAUGUGACUCAGAAGUGUCCAGGAAACGCAGAAGAGGAGCUAAUUAUGAUGAUAGUUCAUUGAAUGAUCAGGUAAAUUAUAGGAAAAUAACACAUACAAAACAACUUUACGUGUGUUAAUACUAAAGAAGCUGCUGCUGCAUAUUCUCAGGUUGUGCCGUAACGAUGGUGAAGCCCCAGAGAAAGUGAAACAAUGAUAUAAAGCAAUAGGAAAUGAAGUGUAGAUUAAUUACUAUGAAUAGAGAAAAAAAAUAGGAAGCAUGCGAGUGGAAAAUGAAGGGUUUUGUUUGUUGUAAAGUAUGAUGAGGCUAAAGACAGCCUUGUCGAAUGGGAAUGAAAUUAGUAUUUUGAUAUAUUAUCAUCAUUUCUUCCAUUGCUUUUCAAUCUUUAAUUCGUUCUAUUAAUUUUUUUUUUUUCAUUUUCUAGAACAAUGUUUUUGUCGUGAAUUUAUAAAUUCUUUCAAUAGUUGUGUGUUUUUUCUGUUCUACUGGUUAAAAUAUAUUUAAGCUAAGAGCAUGUACACCAACACAACCAGUUGCUAGAAGUAAAUAUUAUCAUGAGCUGAUUAAUGCAAUUUUGAAGCUGAACGGGGUUUUUAUGCAAGCAGGAAGUGCACAUGUUCACGAAUUGACAUUUCAUGAUCUCUAUUAAUGCUUUUGAGGAUUUUGUGAAGCAAUGGAUUUACCAUUGUCAGUUUCUUGACUCCUGGAUCUGUAGAGUGGUCACAGUCACAGCACUAUAGCAUCUUAUAAUCAUGAUAAUUCUUUAGGGGACGUAUCUUGCGGCGCACGGAAAGUAGUGAGAGACAAAAACAAGGGUUUGCGUUGUAGCGUGAUGUUCGCAAAAAAACAAUCCAUCACUCAUUUUCAAGGCUGUGUCCUGUAAUAGUUACCGGUUUCUUCUUAGGUCUAUUUUGCUUGUUUUCCUUUUCUCUAACCACAAUUUCUAUUUCUUGCUAAAUAUGUCCUCCGUAUCUGAAGCAACAUCCUCAAAAACAAAACAAUGUCCCCUAAAUAUGGGAAACCGUUAGUCAUUUGCAAGGCUGGCUUAUUAUUAAUAAUACAGAUUCGCAACGUCCUCGAACCCUCUCAGGUCCAUCUAUAAGCAGCCUUGGACCUUUGAGGUUUUCUCUUUUAGCCAUGGCUAAACCUCCGUCCUUUGGCUGCUUCUUCUUCCUCUUAUUCUUCUUCUUUAUAUCCUCUUCCUUCGCCGCAUACGCCAUAUCCGAUUCCGAAGCUGCCUUCCUAGUCCGACGUCAACUCCUGACGUUACCAGAAAACGGCGACGGCGAACUUCCCGAUGACAUCGAAUACGAGGUCGACCUCAAGGCUACAUUUGCCAACACUAGGCUUAAAAAGGCUUACAUAGCUCUCCAAGCUUGGAAAAAAGCGAUAUAUUCGGAUCCGUUUAACACCACGGCAAACUGGCACGGCCCCCAUGUGUGCGCCUACACGGGUGUGGUCUGUGCGCCGGCUCUUGAUGAUCCCAACGUCACUGUGGUAGCUGGUGUUGACCUCAACGGUGCGGAUAUCGCGGGGCAUUUACCCGUCGAGCUUGGUUUGAUGACGGAUGUUGCUAUGUUCCAUUUGAAUUCGAACCGUUUCUGCGGUAUCAUCCCCAAGAGCUUUGAGAAGAUGAAGCUGAUGC
rnacentral:lncRNA from 1 species